UCUUUUUUUUUUUUUUUUUGUCGAAACGAUAGUUCCAUUCCAUUCCAUUCCAUAAAGUGACAGAAAGUGCUAUGCAUGCGAUAAAAAUGGCUAGUUAGGGACAUAAUAGACUUUUCUCACUGCUGACCAGGGAUAUAAUCGACUUUUCAAGCUGUCUUUUUGCUUGAUGUAUAUAUAUACACACACACACAUGAUUUUUAACUUCCCAAACGUAUCUAGAUCUGUAAAAUUCUCCCACAAAAAUCUGAAAUGGACUGAGUCCCAAACGUCUUGCUGAAUCCGAAGCAUCAAUCUUACUGAAGUCAAAGAUGGCAUGUGUAAUCAGAGAGAAAUAGAAAAAAGUCGACCCAUAUGAGAUAUUCGAUCGAUAACUCCACCAAUUUUUAUACUCGUGUGGCACUGUCUUCAUUGUGCUUGUAUGUGCAUGUACAUAGUAAAUUCAUUUAAGCCGUCAUUGGCAAUGAGAACUUUACUAUAAAAAUGAACGGUGGUGGUGGUUAUUUUCGAAAUGGAAAAAGAAGAGAAUUGAGGGGAGACAGUGAUACAAUGGCAUUUUGUAAAUUCAUCAGUACGUUUAAAGUUGUGGUCGUGUGUUUUAUAUUGCUAGUGAUUCCACAGUUCUUGGAGACAAAUGAAGUCAUAAUGAAUGCAAUAAAAAAAAGCUAGUUCCGUGAUAGAGUCUUUGAAUAGGACUGGAUGCUUAAUUGGUGAUGGUAAUAAUGCUUCAUGUUUUUAACGUGCUGAAUGGAAGAGUGUAGAAGAUAACAAGAACAGAAAUGAUGAUGCUAGAUUUGUAGGCAAUGAGAAUUAUGCCAAUGAUGAUACAAGUACACUCCAGCUCAACAAAAUGCAAGGAACAAGUUUAUGACUGCAGAUUGGGUGGCUGGUAGAUACAUAAACUAUAGAUGAAGACUACCAUGUUGAAAUUACUAAGUCCAAGGCAUAUAAAACUUGGGCAAAGGCAGUAAUAAUGAUUAAUGGAUCGUAUGUACAGAAGUGUGAGUGUAUUGUACAGAGUUAGAUAGAACAUAUCUAAAUACCACAACCAAAAUUGAAUUCACUCCAAGCGAAAAUGGCAGUAAUCCAAGAUUCGCUAGGUUGUACUGUUGCUUGGGACCUUUAAAAGAGGUUUUCUAGAGGCAUGUAUGUAGAUCCAUCAUUGGAGUUGCUGAAUGCCACCUAAAAGGGCUUUUUCCAGAGCAGCUAUUGACAACAAUUGUGACUAAUGUUGACUAGUUUUUUGAUCAAUUGCAUUACGCUGUUGUUUUAAAGGGAGGCAACAAAGCAAUACAAGUGGUUCUUGAGACUUCUCAAGCAAGAUCUGAAUGUUGAUAACUAGUUUCAUUGAACAUUUAAUUCUCAUUAGCAAAAAGUAAUUGUAUUAAUUUUUGGUAAUUGCUUAUCAUGAUGAAUUGUACUAGCUAAAAUAUGUAAUAAAUUGUAGGAGUUGAAUACUAUAUUUGCUGAGGUUUUGCCUGACUAUGAACACAGAUAUUGUGUACAACAAAUGUUCAACUUUAUUGCACAUGUAACAAGAUAGACUGGAGCAGGUUUAAUUGAUGUUCAAAUUGCUAUUAGUUCGAAGGCCGCUAUUUCUGAAGCAGGUUCAAGUUUUUCGCGACCUAUUGUAGCUACUUCUAGAGUUGAAAGAUCACAAAUUUUCAAUAGUGUAGCAAGCCAAAGUGCUGCUCAAAGCAGGAGUGUUUCAGGUUCCUUUCAAGCUGGAAAAUCUAUUGCUCAAAUUCAUAAAGUUUCAAGAAGUCAUAAGAGAGCUACAAAAAUGUCUCCUAUAUUGGAUUUUCACGAUGCUUGAUUGAGAAAAGAUACGCCACUCUAUAGUCGAGCAGGAAAGGGAAAAAGGUCAAAAAAGAAAGUAGAUAAUGUGAUUUGCUACUAUUGUUGGUUUCUAGUUUUCGGAAGUUGACUACUACUUUGUGUAGUUUUCUGGUUUCUAACUUUUUGCAAUUGGCUACUAGUCCUUUAUUGAUGGAUGCUACUAUUUUGACAACAUAUGAACUAUGACUCCUCAUUUUUUUUUUGUCAUUGGCAUUUGUUUUAUAAUUUGUAUGAAGCAAAGUGUCAAUUUAGCAUGUAUAUUCUGAAUAUAACUUAUGAAAUCUGAUCUAGUUAGAUCAACCUUUUAGUGUUUGAACCAUUUUUGUUAUUUGAAUGAAUCUAGAAUUUUGCAUCCUUUUUAAUAAGUAUUGAAGACUUAAGUUGAUUAAUCAUUGAUUUUGAUGAUACGAAACAAAUUGAUGAUUUAGACUAAUUGUUUUAUAUGAGACAGUGUCUAGAACAUAUAUCAAGUCUAAAAGAAUGAGGAAAAGAUUUGAAACAAAUGAAGCAAAAAACUGCUCAAGGUUUCGGAUGCGAGCAUCAAAGUAUCGAACAUUCGAUAAUCAACGAGAAAAUUUCAAAUAAAAACUAUCAGACACUUUACAAGAGUAUAGGACGUCUGAUAAUCAAAAAGAUCUAUUGAACAGUCAUAUCGGACACAGACUUCAUGGAUUGGCCAUCCAAUGAAUUUUAAGGGAACAUCUCAAUAUUCAGAUCUCUGUCGGACGCAAGACCUAUGGGAUGCAAAAAUUCCAUCGGUCGUCCGAUAAGAACUGAGAAUAUACUGCCGGACACACACAUCAGUGGAUCGGACGUUCGAUACUCCUAACGGCUAGUUUUUUAAUAGCUAAAUUUUUUAAUGAAAAAACUUUCAAGAGUGGUAGUUGAUUAUUUAUAGGUGUGGAAAAGUUGGAUUUGUGUGGUUUCUCAAAAAAAAAACUAAAACCUUGUGAAGGUGAGUCUCACUUGUAUAAUAGCUCUUGGUUGGUUGGUUAGUUGGCAAUCAAUUGUAACAAAAUAAAGGUUUACUAGAGGAGUUGUAAAACUCUUGGUCUCAACUAAAGAAUAUUUCGGGUGAGUAAAGAAUGAUCUUUCUUAUGUACAAGGUGGUUUGCAACACCAUCAAUUGAAGAGGCUAUUGGAUUGAAUUUGACUUCAAGUUUGGAAGGAACUUGAAAGUUUUGGUUUGGAUUUUUAUCUCUUUAUUUUCAUUUUUGAUACUUAAAUGUGCAAUCUUUAUUGCUCUACAUUUGUUUUAUAAUUGUGAAUUUGUGCAAUUAGUUUGAGUGUUUUUAUUGGGUGAAAACUUAUUUUAUUUGCUUGGUUUGUGUGAUCAACCUAAUUCACCCUCUCUUAAGUUGUCUUUGGGCCUUACAAUUGGUAUUAGAGUUUGAUCUCUUAGAGAUUAAACUCAACCGAUUUAGGAGAAAAGAUCAUUAUGGCAACCAAUUUUGUGUUAGGAAGAUCCAUAAAGGAACCACCAAUUUUUUACGGUAAAAAUUAUGAUGUGUGGAAAAAUAUGAUAAAAGCCUUUUUUAAAUCUAUUGAUUUUGAUUUGUGGUAUAUUAUUGUGAAUGGUCCUCAUAAAAUUUUAAUCACAAGGAAGGAAAAACCUAGAGAAAAAACUAAAAAAGAGUUAAAUGAAAAUGUUAAGUGGAUGUUGGCUCAAAACAUACAAGUUAUGGAAAAUUUUUAUGGAGUUUUGGAUGGAAAUGAAUUAAAAAGAAUAAAGUAUUGUAAAAAUGUUCAAGAGAUUUGGAGAAAAUUAGAAAAAUUCCAUGAGAAUAAAAAUCUUACUUUUCGAGAAGAAAAGAAAGAAAAUUCAACUCCAAAUUUUAAUGAGACAGAGAAUAUAAAUGAUUUAAUGGUAGAAAAGAUUGUUAAAACUUUGCAUGAAAAGUUAAAAAAAAAAGCUAAUGAAUUGAAUAAGACAUUAAAAUCUCAAUUGAUUGAAUGUACUUUAGAGAAGAUUCAAAUUAGAGAUGAAAAUGUAAAUUUAAAACUCACCAUUAAUAAGUUUAUUAAGUGAAGAAAAACAACAUUAUUCAAACUUUUUUUUUUUUGUAAUACACGAAAUAUGAAUUUUUUCCAUUACACCUCGAAGUGUUACAUGAAUUUUUUAUCUUACUAAUGACAGUAGUCCUUUUGAAAGACCCAUGGAGCCACAUUUUAGGUGUUUUAAUUUCACAAAAGAAGUUGGAGAACUCAAAUGGAACCAAAAAAAAAAAAAGGAAAAUUAUCAAACUCAAUUCCGCAAUUGGUGCCCUUUUAGUUAUGUAUAUUAAUUAAAAUGUUGAUUUUGUUCCACAUAACGGAUUUUCUUGUCCCACUUUUUCGGGCAAAUUAAUCUCUUCACUUCUUCUUCUUCUUCUUUAUUAUAUGUUGUUGCUGUUACUAUGUUGCGUUCCAAGUUGAUCAAAGGAUUUGAUAUUUUCAGUUUUCACUAAGAAUAUUUUGUGUUGGUGAGGAAAGGACAGGCAAAAACAUUAAAUAUGCAAUUCUAAAAGAAUUUUAUUUUUGUCUUUGGCUAGUAGGUUUAGUGCUACAAGGUAAAUAAAAUAAUCAAAAGAAUGGGGGAAUAAAAAAAGACAAAGGGGAGACUAUUAAAUCCACAAGCUCCAGCUUUCAGUAAUAAUUUUUAAUAGUACAAGUCAUCCAUGCACGUUUGGAUUGCUUUUUUUUUUUUUUUUUUGGAGAAUUUUUGAGAAAAAAUUACUGUAUUAUUUUUCUAAAACGUGAUUUACGUGGUCGAUAAAAGUUAAUGUUUCCAGAAAAUCACAAUCCGUCUCAUAGUUGAUACAUCAAUUUCAUUAUUUAAUGAUGCAAUCUUAAAUGAAUUUCUUAUAGGACUUAAUUAAAUCGCAUGAAUUAGUUUCAUAAACUCCUUCUUUGAUUUCAUGAUUAAUUAUCAAAGAGUAAGGCUUUACUUUAUCUAUUGUUUUUUAAUUACUAAAACUCAUCGUUAUGAAAUUACCAAACACUCUACGGACUCAUUGCUACUCUCUAAUUUUAUCACAUCCAUAGUGUAAUAUUAAUAGUGGGAUUUGAACCAAACGGCGGGCUUAUAGAUAAAUAAUUUGGUGUAACUAACCAAUGCCUAUUAGAUACCCAUUAAGUAAAUCCCUCCUAAAUUGCCACCUGGAAUUUGACUACUAAAAAUGGAUAAGAGGAUGAUUAUAGAACAUAUAUUCUAUUUGGCAAAUGAGUUUUUUAGGAUGUUUGUAUAAAAUUUUAUUAUAAAAUUUGUAGAAAAAGUUGUUAAAAAACUUGUAGAAGAAUAACUCGGUAAAAAAUUCGUUUAACAAACAACCCUUAAAAGGAUAACUAUGUACCAUCAUGUAAUAAAUGAGAAUCUGGUUUGUGGAAGUCUGGCUAAUUAAGUUUCAAUUGAAAUAAAGAUUUUAUAAUUGUUUAAAUUAUUUAAUAAAAUUAUCAAUUUCAGAUGAACGUAAAUAUAAAUACAUUAAAUUGUAUUAUUGAAAUAUUUGAUUUAAUAUGAAGGAAAGACAAGAAGAAACAGCAAGAAAUUUUUAAAAAAAUUCAUAUGAAUCAUUCAUAUUGGUAAUCAUCUUUACUUGUUAAUGUAAUCACAUUACCUAACCAUAACCAAUUGAAACUCAUAUCCACAAGUCAUGCAACAAUUUGUGUUGUGCUGCUUAGAAUUAAAGUUAUAAUAUACUCAAAUUAAAAUUCACUUUUUCCCACUAAUUUUUCUUUCUUUUAUAUAUGAUUCAUGUGCUGUCAUUUGUUUGUAAUUAAUUUAGCGAAGAGAUGCUCUUUAGGAUAAAUGAUGGUGUUUUGACAAUGUGGAGUACUUUUAAGGAUUUUUAUGAGAUUUGAGAACACAUUUUUCAUGCAUUUAAUCUAAUUUAGAUUUUAUUCCAUUUGAAAUAUAAUUAUUUAAAACAUCAGGGACCAUAUUGAUCAAAUUUUCAAAUAUUAGGGACCAAAAAAAUACAAAGUCAAAACUUUGGACUAAUUUUAAUUUGAUUUUGACUGUUGGAUAUUGUAGUUUUCUUUUAGUUGUCCUAAAUUUGCUUAAAAUAAAAAAUUUUGGGACCGUUCUGGUCGAAACUUUAGGGAUUAAUUUAACUCAUAAACCAAACAUUGGAGGACCAAAAUUGCACAUCUCCCUUUAUUUUAAUCAUGUCUGAGUUCCCAACUCUUCCUUUUAUAUUUACAUUUCAAUUAUUUCAAAUAUGAAACUCAAUUAGAAAAGAAAAACUAUCACAACAUUUGCUUUGACAUGUAUAAAAUUAACUAAUUAAUGUUGAAAAUUUCACCAAUUUUUCAUUACAACAAUCUUGUCUAUCUUUCCGUGCCUUUUUUUCACUUUUCUUUGACAUUCACUUUUUCGCUCUUCCCCUCCUUUUAUUGGAAAUUUGGGACUUGCUGGAGUGUACACAAAAUAUUUUCUAAGCAUUGGGCAUUAAAUGAUGAACAAAUUUUUAAGAGGGCUUUUAUUGUGAUUUUAAAAUGCAUUGCAUCAUUUCAUCCACGCACAACCGGCUUUCUCCAAUGCCCCAGAGACUUAGUUAUUCACAUGUUACGAUUGCGAGUUCAUUAAAGUAUAGAAAGUUCAUAGUCAAUCUCUAACAUUCUAUUAAUGAAAUUCAAAGAUAAAAUGUGAAAUGUUCGUUUUCUUUCUAUUAAGGGCAAAUUCCAUUUUACCCCCUAUGAUUUAGCAUUUUUCACAUAACCCCCCUACGGUUUCAAAUGCUAUACAUAACCCCCUUAUAGUUUGGAUUAAAAUGUCAAAGUAACGGAAAUAGUCACUCGUAACGGCGUCACCUAAAAUGUCAAAAAUACCCUUAUGUAAGGUUGAAAUUUAUGUAUUAACCAAGGGGGGUUAUGUGUAUAUUUUGAAAAUCAUAAGGGGGUUAUAUGGUAAAGUAUUAAACCAUAAGGGGGUUAUAUGGUAAAAUAUAAAAAUCAUAGGGGGUUAAUGUGUCAUGUAUUUAUAAGGGUAAUUUCGACAUUUUUAGAAGUUCCGUUACGAGUGACUAUUUCCGUUACUUUGACACUUUAAUCCAAACCAUGAUGGGGUUAUGUAUAGCUUUUGAAACUAUAUGGGGAUUAUGUAAAAAAAAGAGUAAACUAUAGGGGGGUAAAAUAUAAUUUACCCUUCUAUUAACAACGUGAGUAAUGUAAAAUAUAGAGCGCAAAGCCAAUCACAAACAUCGUCUUCGUGAAUAAAGAUAAAGUGUGCAAUCCUCAUUUUCUUUUAUGUACACAUGAUAUUUCUGAAAAUUUCAGAUACUUUUUUUAAUUACAUUUUUAUCUCAUAAACAUAUUCAUUCAAAAAAAAAACAAAAAGUACUGCACCGAAAUUUUUAGAACCACCAUCCACGUGGAGCAACUAUUAACUCCUAGGACUAAUGGCUGGUCCUUCGCAUGAUAUUCAAUCGAGAUGAUGCAUGGACCUUGAAAAUGAUGCAUGGACCUUUGCCAGCUGCUGCAGUGUUUGUGCCAGACAAAGGGUGGCGAAAAGACUGAAAAACUUGGCAAACUGUGUGGGCAGCUUUGUUAGCAACUUGUUGCACGGAUUAUUUUUAUUUUUAUUUUUUUCAUUUAGGGAUAUCCGGACCUAUACCCGACUAGUCCCCUAACCCCGAGAAGAGUAGGCCCCACCGAUCCUCAGGAAAAUACCCCAGGCUGCCGAACUCGGAAUCGAAACCAGGACUGGCGCCUUAAUGAAGAACGCGAAGUCCAUCCGAGCAGCCCAUGGGGGGACUUGUUGCACGGUUUUUUUUUUUUCAGUUAGGGAUAUCCGGACCUACACCCGACUAGUCCCCCAACUGAGUGGCAAAUGCAUACGUAACUGAGUGGCACGGAUUUAACUGAGUGGCAAAUGCAUACGGUACUGUUUGGUAACAAAGAUGUAAAAAGAAUUGGUUGAAAUAGUUACAUGGAGAUAUAACUAUCAAAUUUAUUUGUCAAAACCUGAACCAUCAAAUUGAUGGCAAUAAAAUAAAGGGUUCAGUCUGAUAAUUAACAGCCCGAAUUUAAUUGAUGCACGGAUUUAACUGAGCAGCAAAUGUAUACAUAUUGUUUAGUGACCAAGAAUUGGUUGAAAUAGUUGUAUGGAGAUGUGCAUCAUAUUUAUUUAUCGAGGCCUGAGCCAUCAAAUUGAUGACAAUAAAAUAAAGGGUUCAAUCUGAUAAUAGCACGGAUUUAAUUGGUGUACGGAUUUAACUAAACAGCAAAUGUAUACAUAUUGUUGUUUGGUGAUAAAGAUGUAGCAAGAAUUGGUUGAAAUAGUUGUAUGGAAAUGUACAUCAUAUUUAUUUUAUUGAAGCCUGAACCAUCAAAUUGAUGACAAUAAAAUAAAGGGUUCAAUCUAAUAAUAGCAUUUUGCUGUCAACUUGUACUCGAAAUUACUGUCUUUGUCCGUUCUCAAGAAAUUACUGCCUUCGUUUACAAUUUAGGAGACUGAAGAUGGUGAUGUUGAUGUUGCUUGUUAUCAGAUUUAGGGAUAUGAACCAUCUAGUACCAGAAAUAAUAUCAAGAUUUCUUUGCAUGUCAAACAUUUGUAUCCACCAGGGUCUGUAUCAAGAAAUAAAUCUGGAAGUUGGGAUGUCAAGCUGCAGGCAAAUGCUAAGAGUUCGUUUAGACUGUAUUUUUUUAAGUUUUUGUGGGAAUUUUUGUAGAGAAACAACAUUGUAGCUUCUUCUUCUUUUUUUCUGUUUUUGGGAGAUAUGAUAUAUGUCAGACAAAAAAUAUGAUUGUGAAAUUUUCUCCAAAAAUUACUAUCUAAACAAAAUGAGUUAUGAAGAGUUGGCAAUUAUUAGGAAAGACCAAAUUAAAGAUUUGGUGACUUCAAGUCUGAAAAUUAAGACCCUUGCAGGGAACCAAAGAUUUCUAAGAUAGUGGAACAUAAUGGGUUCAACGAUGAAUAAACUUUGCCCUAGUCAAACCAUGACUUGACUACCAACAAACUAUAACAAGCAAAAUACUUCUGACCCCUGAAAUGAUGAUAUUGCAAACAUGGGUAGGCGUAGCCAUGACAUGUUUCCUAGCAUCAUUCCAGCCUCUCUAGCCCAAAACUACCCUAAUGAGGAUUCUAAGUAGCAAGUAAAUCAUGCAAUUCCAAGUCCUGAGCCAAGUGAAAUAAAAUCAGAACAUCUCUUAUAAUUUCCUACAAUUGAGUUUCAAUUUGGACUAACCCAGUUUGCUACAAGUUGCAGAACAGAUGCUUCCUACAGGCUGCCACAAUGUUCUUGUUUUGUCCAAAUUUGUUCAACAAUUGGGGCAUGGAAUUCACGAAAAGCUAUGGCCUUGAUUGAACUCUUUACGAGGCGCCCAGGCCUGUGGAAAAGAUUACCACACUUCCAGAUUGCUUUCCCUUUUCUUCAAAAGGGAAAAUUUAGUUCUUGUCAUAGGCCUAAAAGGUAAAAAUUAAAGGAGUUCGCCAAUAGUUUCAAUUAGAGGUGGGAAUUUGGAUUGAGAUCCAUUUAUCCAUCCAUAUAAUCUAUAAUUAAAUGGAUUUGAAUUAUCCAUUUAUAGUGUUGAUUUUAAAUGGUUGACCAAAGUAAAAUCAUUAAAUUAAAUGAAUUUAUAUGGAUUAUUCACAAAAACCAUAUAUAUCCAUUUACUUAAAAAUCAUGUUUCUGUCUCGUGCUAUUGUGGCAUGCAUUUAAGGAAAUGCUUUCAUUAUGAAAGUUUCAUUUGAUUUUGAGAAACGAAAGGGACCACCCUUGCUGUUAGGCCCAGUGUUGUACUGGAUUAACUGGCAAAGCAUUUGGCUCCCCUUAAGCAAGGUCUCGGGUUCAAGUCUUGUGAGUGAAAAGACAAAUGCUAGGAGAGCUUGCACCUCUUAUGAGGUGCAACCUAGUUCAACUCCGGAUUAGUCAGGACCCAAAGCGACUACUGUAUACCAAGGGAUCUGGCAAAAAAAAAAAAAAGUAACUAAAACAUUUAAAUUGAUUAUAAAUGAAUAAUUGAUUUUUAUUCAAUUCAUUUAGAUCCAUCCAUUUAGAUCCAUUUAAUAAAUGGAUCUAAAUGAAUUGGAUAAAUUUCAUCCACCAUCCAUUAAAUCAAAACCAAUUAUGAACCAUUUAUCCAUAUUACCACCUCUAGUUUCGAUCGUGUAUGUAGGACUGACUAUUCUUUUUACUUCCCACUCCCAUUUUUCUCGUGGCAUUUUAUGCCUUGUUCAACCAGCACUAUUAGUAAGCUAUCUGUAAUUAAGAUAAGAUGAAAAAAACAAGGCUUAAACAAUUGCAACUAAACAGCAUGACACAAUAACAAACUUUCUCAAAAUAUACCUUUGUGGCUUUGUUUAGUGAAGGACAAUGUAGUGAACAUUCACAUCAUAUGCACUCAAGCAGUAGAACCAUCAUAUUCUUCCACAGACAAGGUGAAUAUUUUCAAGAAUAAGCGUUAAUGUAAUAAUUAAGUUUACAUGCUUUGGUACAGUUGUAACUACAAUAAUAGUCUAUAUAUACAGCUGUUGCAACUCAGUUGUCUCUCCGUCAAAGACACAGACAGACGCACAACAGAUGAAGACACAAAGCCAGAAUCAUCUCCGUUAAAAGAACUCACUGUCCCUUUGACACAAGUUUCCUACUUCACAAAUGGUGACAACCUCUAAUCGAAUAACAAUUUCCUUAAAAAAAAAAAGUAAAAAUAAAGAACAAAAGAACAAGAGAGCCAUAAAUACAGGAAAUUAAGAAAAGAAAGAAUUUAGUACAAGAACUGGACUCACUGCCAGACUUCUGGAUACUCCUCAAGGCACAGAAUAUAGGGCUUAAAUUAAGAACCUGGUGGACCCAGUUAAGUCUGAAGAUUCAAAAGUUGAAUGCUGAACAUGAUCCUGCAAUUUUACAUCAGCAUUCAGUCUGGAAAUAUCUUCUCUUAAGGCCAAUUCCGAAACCAAAGAUAUAUGAUCACUUCCCCAUUUUCUAGAAAGCACAGCCAAUAAAUUGACGCCAGCAUAUAGAAAAAAAGGAAAAAAAGUGUGUAAGUGGACUCACUGUCAGACUUCUGGAUAUUCCUUGAGGCACAGAAUAUAGGGCUUAAAAAUAAGAAUCUAUUGGACCUACUUAAGUCUGAUUCAAAGUCAAAUGCUGAACAUGAUCCUGCAAUUUUACAUCAGAAUUCACGCUGGAAAUAUCCUCUCUGAAGGCCAGCUCCGAAACCAAAGCUAUAUGAUCACUUCCCCAUUUCUGGAAAUCACAGCAAACAAAUCAACGGUAGUAUGUACAAGAUAUUAGAUUCUUAGUAAGUUCACAAGGAUCGGUAUAUGAGAAGGCUGUUACAAGAGAUAUGAAUGCCAAAACAAUAAUCUAGCUAAGACAAUUAAUUGAAGGACUAACAUCAAGAAUAUGAAGUCACCUACCACACUGAUGAAAAGCAGAACCUCCUGAACUUAAGGUCUGGCUCAGUUAGGUUUUCUGAUAUACUAAUCAAAGCGAAAAUAUCACAAUACUGACAACUUGGACAGGUUUUUAUUAAAUGAGUUAAAGACAAUCAUAACCCGAAACGCACAUUAUACAUACUUUAAAAUAACUCUCCAAAAGUAACUAUUUUUCAUUUGAACCAAAGAUUCAACAAUUCAAUAACGCAUCAGUUGUUUGGGCCCAAUAUUUCAGCAAUGACUAAGAAUUCCAAAAAGUGAACUAAAAAAAUUAGUUGGGGAGAAAGUAACCAACUUUUGAUCAAGUACAACUUCAAAUGUUGAUCUAGUUAGUUGCAGCAGGUACUGAAUUUUAGCCCCCACUUUUGGACUGUAAACAGAAGGACAGCUAUUCUGCUUGCUAAAGUAGGUCAAAAGUCUGCUUGGAUUACUUUGCUCAUGUUUUUUAGUUAUAAUAUAUGCUCAAAGAUUUCCCAGUUUCAAAAACAUUCUAAGAGUGGUAUCCAUGGUUUUUCAUACUUUUCAUACUAAAAGGACAUCACAUGGUUUUACAUAUUGGAACAAAUGCACACAAGCAAACUAGCUUCAUCGGAAUAUAAUUAAAAGUAGAGCAGGGAGCUUAAUUCUAGAAGAGCAGAGACAACAUUAUUUAAGAGAGUCAAAAUAUACCACAAAUACAACACCAUUGGUAUCUUAAACUAGCAUCAAGGAAAUAUAGUAAGAAAUGGGGCAGACAAUGUAAUUCUAGAAGAGCACGGACAACAUUAUACAAGGAAAUACCUAAAAUUCCUAGCAUUUGCAGUGAUUUGUAUGAAGUAAAAUAGUUAUGUUCAGAAUUUUCUGAUUAUCAAUUUUACAAGCCCUGCAGACAAACAAAAAAUAACCCAUGCAAAUGCAAUACUAAACAAGGAUAGAGUUAUUAGACAAUAGGUGCAAGUCUAAGUACAGUUACACAGCUUUCUAUGUUAUACAUUAAGAAAUGUCAGGGUUGCAUAUGCUUGACCCUUCAUUAUAUUUUACCUGCUAAAAAUUUGAGUGAUUGAAAUACUAUGAGAUUAAGAUUGAAAAAUUGUCAUAUUGUAGUCUUCCAGAAGUAGGGAAAAAAGCUGUAAAAAUGUAGUUUUCUUUGACAUAAUGUAUAGUCAUGAUUCCGAGGUAGCUAAGGUUGAAUGCCUGUUCCGGUGAAUUUGAGCAUACAAGAUUAAAAAGACAACAUUAACCACUCUAAACAGUAAAUACUUUCAACUUUAAUGAGUCAUUAAGCAACGUUAGUAGCUUAUAGUCUCCCACAGAAAAUACAGCAAAAGGCAUAGAUACAUGUUAGUAGGGACUUGAAAAUAAAAAUGUGACACACUAAAUCCUCUUAAAGCUAUGAACAGUAGUCAUUAUCAAUUAUUUAUGCAGUUAACCAAUUUUGUCAAUCAGUCUUUGAGAGCCCAUGUAUGUGGGUGGUUUUAGUUUCAAAGAUAACCUUUACAGAAAAACAAACAAGCAGAAAAGAGCUACACUUCCAGAACUUUUUAUGCAAGAAUAAAUAAAAUGAUUUAAUAAUGAACAACUUUUGUUCAACUAAAAGGGUGACAAAAUUUAUGAAAUUACAGUAUGAUACUAAAUGAAGUCAUAUUCUUUUAGCAGAUGGAAAUACGAGACCAAAGGUGACCCAGAUCAUGAAAAGGAUGGAAACUGUUAUUCAUCUGGGCAUCUUCAGUUUGAUUUUCAGAAGAUUUUUGUGUACCCCAGUGUACACUACCAUGGAAUUAGGAAUAUCAAGCAUUGAAAUGAUCUCAGCAGAAGUUCCUCUUGUAGGAUAAAGAAACUUCAAACUUGGACCUGUUUCACAAAUGACCGAUGUUGGAAGGCUACAAUCGAGGCUGGAGAGCAUUCAUGUGAUUAGAAACUUACUCAAACACUUGGCUUAUGACAACCAUGAGAAACAACUGUAACAGAAAAAUUUUCAGGAAAAAGACUAAGAUAAUACUUGAUCCAGAGCCCACACAGGAGUUAUUUAAUGACAAGAUAUUAGUUGCUCUACUUGGAUUUGAUUUUGAACAAAGAUGGUCAAUACCAUGUCAAGUUGUUUCCAUAAGCAAGCUCAUAAGCCUAUUUCAUUAAACUUGGGAAGAAAAUGGAAAAAGGCCAUAUUAUAUAAUUAUUCAGAUGGACAAGGUUUGAAAGCAAUACCUUUGUAGGGAAUCCCCGUGUCCACUGCAUAGCAUGCUUUGGAAUAGGGGCAAGAACCCUGGAAGUUUGGAGACCUUCAGAGCGCCUACAGCUCACACACAUUUGCACAAAGAUUUACUUCAGCAUCCCAGCCUAAUCAACAAUUAUUGAACUAAAACACCUAAAACAGUUUUUAAACAUCUACAUAGCAAAAUGAUUCGGACGUGUUUGGUAGAGAGCAUAAAGAAGAAAAGCUAAACUUUCCUUCCUAGCCUCCUAUUCCUUUCCAAUGAGGAAGCAAGAACCAGAACAACGAAAUGGCCCAUAAUGUAACAUUUCACAAAUCUAACGUACAAGAAGAAAAGGAUAAAAUGGUAAAAUCCAGAAAACUUAUUUCCUGUAUAUUACUCCUCAAGGAAAAGAGUUCUUUCAGAUUUCUUCCUCUCUCGCUCCCUUUUCGCUUCCAAAUGAUCUCAUACAGUCAAGCAUAUCCAGUUUAAGAUGUUGUAAACAAACCAACUGAAGUCAUAUCCUUAUAAUCUAAAUGCUGUAAGUUGAUAAUCUCUAAUGAUGACUUUUCAAGGGCCAAAAAAAGAUAAAAAAUAAAAAAUUCAAGGUCUACUUAAGCUUAAUGUGUGCACAUUGCUUUGUUUCACAGUAUGGUAUCUAUAUUUUCUUCUUUGUUGAUCACAAUGUCAACCUUUUUUCUUCUGUCAAAAUUUACUUAGUUUAGCAAAAUAAAAAAGAGAUCUUAAUAAAGUUCAGAUUAGGUUAAGCAUGGAGAUAUUUCUAAAGUAAUCAUUUAUUUUUGCUCAGGAUAACCAACACAAACUUGUCCCAUCAGAUUGUGAGUGGUAAAAUAGCACCAAAAUUAGAUUUCCUACACACUAGGAUCUCAAGAAAGAAAUGAACUUCUGCAAAAAAAUCCUGAAAAGGAAGAACAUGCAUCCUCAACUUAUUUACUUCUUCGGGGGACAUAACUACUCGAGUCUGACAAAGGUCCCAAAAAAUGAGCUGUUCAUCCAAAUAGAUGUUGUCAUUGACAUGAGGGAAACUACACUCUCACCAUAUAUAAUCAACUGUGCCCAAAAAACGUCUAUGGUAGCUGGUUACUGCAGGUUCUCCAGUUGAAUCUCUUGUGCCUGAAGAAUCCUGCAAGUUAAAGUACCAAAACUUUACAGUUCUUCACAUUAAAUAGAUAUUAUCAAGAAGCAAUGCUUACAGCAAGUAGACUUAUCAAGUAUGAGCUUAAAUAUCUUAGAUCCACCUCAACUUCUCCAUAUACGCUUUGUAACUUCAAAGGGUGUUCCAUUACUAAGCAAUCUGAACUUCCUGUCGCAGUUUCUAGUUCCACCGGAGUCCAAGCUGAUGGAUCAUAUUGUGACUGUUCCACAUCAAUAAUCUCGGAAUCCACAGCUCGCGUGUCAAUCAGACUCUCAUUUCCAAGUGGAUUAGUCUCUUGGAUAUCGGAGCUUGUAGUUGUACCUUCUUCAAAUGAACCAUCUGCUUCAGGUUUUACACUUUGAGAGUGACAAAAGGGAUCUGGGAAAGGAUCAAAAUUUAAUAUAUUUCAGACAAAAAAGCUACAAUUGUGUUCACCUUCCUUUGUGUCUUCAAGAAACUCAUUUAUAAGUAAGUUGUCCAUUUCAUCACCCAACAAAUUGAUAUCUUGGAUUACGUCCUUAACAGGACUAACAGAAGAUUUCAUGUCAUCCUGAAUCACAACUGGACUUUCCUCCAAGUCAUAAGAAUCACAGAUGGUAGAUUUAAAUUCAUUGUCGCUUCCAUGAAAAAUUUCAAUAUCAUUUUCUCUUAAUUUUGUAUCAGUUCUUUCAUCUACGUAUAUGCUGUUAAUGCAAGACUCCACAGGCUCUUCCACCACAGAAGAGAGAGGCUUAGACAAGCAGUCCGGAAAAUGUUCAUUUCCUGAACAUUCAUCAGGAUAAUUUUUCUUCUCUUCAGCUAAUGGAGAAUCACAGCUCUCUGCUUUCAUCUGACUGGCUGUUGGCAAUACUUGAGAAAAGUUACCAGUGGAAAGGGCCCUAUAAUAAUAAAAGCAGUGUCAAUUUUGGAAGCGUGUAAUGUAGCCUCCAUGUGCUUGACACAUAGAAAGUUAAAAAAGUAAGAGCAUAGAUACCCAGAAUUAGGAUUAGAUGGCCUUGAUGGAUAAAAUUCUGCCGAUGUUUGUCCUGAAACUUGAUCACGAGGAAGUUCUGACAGGUCUAACUGCAAUAAUACAAGGAAACUAUGACCAACGUUUGCAAACUGAGUAGAAAAGUGAAAUUGCAGGAAGUGGGAGGGUGUGGAGCUGAAGGUCAUCAAUGCUACCAUUCACCUUUUGUUCUGCAACAAAGUUGUACAAUGGACUCUGAUGCAAAAGCAAGAAAGAAUAUCAGAAAAAUCAACAUGAGGCCAAAAGAAAGGCAACACUAUGGGCUAAGACAUAAUGGAUGCAUAUAAAGCAAGAAAUCAAGACAACAGACCAAAAAAAAAAAAAAGUUACUUAACAAAAUGAAUUAUAGCACCUUUGGAGUACUAUUAAAAUCCCCACAAAUAAUGACAGAAGCAUCAUCCCAAAGCUUUGAGACAGCAUGAGCCCGAGCUAGAAGCACCCUUAUCUGCUUACAGAACAAGAAGUUGCAGCAACACUCAGUAAAGAUAACUUGCAGUAAACAAAUAAGCAGACAUUAAUUUUGUCAAAAAGCCCAAAGGAAUUUGUAUAUUGAUCACCAUUUUCCCCAUAGCCUGUGAUUCAAUUCAAGUCAAGUUUGCGACAUUCGGUACGAUCAUAAGCAGCAUCUUUAAAGAAGCUAUACUUUUGAUUAUUAGAUAAUUUCUGAAACAAGGUUGUUCCAAUCUUGUAGAAACUAAUAUUCUAGAAUUGAAAAUCUUGACCUAGCUAGAACAUGAAAAAGUAGAAACCCGUAGCAGUCAAAGCAGAUGGGAACAGAGCCAAAAAGUUCCAGUGGGGCUGAAGCAAAAGAAUUGUUCAGACCUAUCCAUAACCACCCAUAUAAAUUAAGAUUCCUGCUCCAACUGUUGUACUGAGUUCCUUAUUCCACACCAUCUAUGUACAUCAUUGAAUCAACUUCCAAAAGCACCUUUUUAUAUGAUGUACAAACUAUACAGUAGCUAGCAGAAUGGCUCCAGAGAAGAACACAAUCAGGAAAAUGUUCUUUCUUCUUGCUAGGAUGUUGCUUAGUCAAUUACACGUGUCCAAAAACAUUAUAGCGUGAAGAAACUUCCAAAAGCGAAAAGCACGAAAUUAGCUGCUGCUGAUCCUUGGAUGAAAUCAUAGAAAUCGCAAGAGACUAUCAACACAAAAAGGAUGAAGAAAAAAUGUUACCUGACCAAGCUUGAUUUCUCCCCUUCUAGGAUUGAAAAGCACAUGAAUGUUACAAACCACAACCUUCUUUGCCUGUUUUGAGCUGCAAUAACAGGAUCUGAGUCCAAGCGAAUGAAGCAGAAAAAAUCCCAGUUAUCCAACAAAAGGAAAACCCAGAGAGGUGGUCCAAUUAUAUAUCAGAAAAAUUGGAAAUUUAUGCAUAUCAACAAGCUCCCCCCAACUUCCUCUUUAUCUUCUUUCCCCAUAUGCUCUUGUUCUGCUUUGAGCAGAUGAGUUUAUUAAUUAUUGAAUGAAUUUUUUAAAAUAUAAUAAUAGCAAUAUGAAGAUUACCCAUGAUACUUAAAACUGUUGCAGCUAUAUGUGACUGAAACAAUCAUGAAAAGCUUCAACUUGAUUGCCAAAAAUGUGUAAUUUUUGCGAAUUGGUUCUAAAGGGAAAAAAAAGACAAGAUGUUUAACGGAGAAUAAUUGAAAGAGCAGAAACAACUGAAGUCCAAUGCCCGAGGUGAGGUGUAAGCAUAUGAACUGCUUUAUUCUUUUCAUAACGCCACUAUCAAAAAAAUAAGGAUCUAAAACUCAGCAACCCCUUUGAAUUUCGUCUAAACAAGAACAUAUACAUUAUGAAAGCUUUAAUACUCUUUUCCAUAUCAGGAUCACAGAACAUUCAAACUCAGAACUUUUACUAUUAUACAACUUAUUUCAUCACCAAUUUGAGAAAAAUGAAAAAACUACCUUUUCGAGGGAGCUGGUGCAGUGGUACUGUUGCACUGAGAUAAAGACUGUUCAACAGAGACAACAAAUUAGAUGGACAAACUUGACAUUUCAUGGUAAAAUUACAUAUCCAAACCACUUCAAGUUUCCCAUUUGGCAUCUGCAAAACUCAUGUACCUCAAAUACACAUAUCUGUGCAACAUUAUCUCGAAGGCCAAGUGCACUGAAUUCGAUGGACUCCUCAUGCACCAACUUGAAUCUAACACAAUAAUAAAGCCAAUUCUAAGGGGGAAAAAAUUGUUUUAACACAGCAAUAUCAUAUUCGUGAGGACGCAUAGUGUCUAAUUAAAUAUACAACAAGGAAGGAGAUGCCAGUUCUUGUACCUUGAACAGAAACACAACUCAAUUACAAGCCAAAACUCUUAAGAGGAGAAACAAAUAAAUCACUAAGAGAAAGAGUAGCUACAAAAAAAAUGACAUGGAAAUAUUAAAACACAGAGACUUACAUGAACAACUGCAGAAAAUGUUAACCAUGCAAAAAUGACUUCCAUUUUAUUUAAUCUUUUGGGGACAGCAUUUGGAAACAACAUAACAACAAUUCGGGAUUGAAGAUUUCUAUGAACACUGUUGCUUCCAUGGCAUUACCCGCAUCAAUGAAUUACAAAUAUAGCAGGAGUUCCACAGUAAAAUGAGUCAAAUUGUCCUAGUCUUGGCUAGUCGACUCUACAGCCAAUACACAACCCAUUUACUAAGGAUAGCCAAGAACUUGGAAAAAGCUUUUAAUAGACAACUAUUUAGUGCAUCACCCUCAUAAAAAAACUAAAUACAGCAUGUCUAUAACCACUCUAGAAGAAACCAGAAGAGUUUACUAAAAAGCAGGAAAAAAAGGUGAACAAAUAGGGCAGCAAGUCAAAUUCUUUAUUGCAUCCACAUACUAUGGAUCUCUUAAUUCACGCAAAUAUCCAUGGAGUGAGAUUAGUGCACUGCUCAAAUAGCAAAUCCACAACCACACAAACACAGAAGCAAAGAGUUCUCAAACACAAGCCCAUAGUGGAAUGCAUAACAAGGACCUCACACCAGAAAGUAAAACCAACAAGAUUCGUCCUAUUGCUUCUUGUGAUAAAAAUGACCUAAACUACUGCUUAUCAUAAAAUCUAUAACAUGAAAAUUCAUAAAGAAAUGAAGCUGAACAGAUUGUUUUAAUGAACAAUGAAAACCAAAAAAGUGUAAAUAGCACACAGAUUUAUGUGAACUAGAAAAAAAAAAAAACAUUCCCGAGUCCUUUGGAUCUGACGAUAAAGCACUGGAAAGCACAUUACUCAAAUUUGCUAUUUGUACACCACUAAAUUCUAAAACAGCACAACAUAACUUAUACCUAGAUAUAUGCCACUUGGCAAAUAUCAAUCACUUCAUCUAAUCAUAAUUAAAUGUUAAGACAUGAUGUAAAGUACAAAUAACAUGGGUCAAUAAACUUUACAAGUUACUUAAGAGAAUGUUUUGUGCAGAAGAAGAAAUUCUUAUAUAACGAAUGGAGAAAUGGUAGUGGUACUGAUUCCAACAAAAGGUAUGUAAGAAGCAAUGCCCAUGAUGUAAUGAGUCACUGAAUGACUUCACCCCAGGGGACAUUUGAGACUGGGCUUACACUACCUUGAGUUACGCCAGAAUAUUGCGCAGCCAUCAACUCGAUCACCGGUUCGCAUCUAAAAAGUAAUAGACAAAAAAUUACCAUCUAUUUGAUGUUUUUUAUCCACUUUGACGGGGACCAUGUUAAUAAAUCAAAAAUAAGUCAAGACAAGUAAGUGAAAAUUCUACUAUGACUUCAUUCCUAUAUCCAGGACUUAUGAUGAAACUCUGGACUCAACAACCAAGAUUUAAAGAACCAAGAGGCAAUGCAAUUGAAUAAGUUAAACUCCUAUUGGUAACCCCGCCCCCCCCCCAAAAAAAAAAAAAAAAAAAGAAAGAACAGUUUAUUUCUUGUUAAGCUCAAAGAUGGCAUCAUUUUGCAACUUUCUGCAACAAAAAAUUGUUUCAGCCAUUGGGUGUCAGUCAUGUUGGUUAGUCUUAAUUUAUUUUGUUAAGUAGCAUUGAUAGCAUUUAAUUGGCAGACAUCAUUGGUAUAGACUGAAACUUGUAUUUGAAAGGCCAAAUGCAGGGGAUGGUAACCAAAUCUAGCAUAGAAAUGAUGAAUCAAUAAGCAAAGAAGAAAAGACUAGAAAUUUUCCUAUAUAACCAUUAUGCAUCAACUUCCAAAAAUACAAACUGCCCAACAGUGCUGAAAGAGUAUAACAUAGCAAAACAGUAGUGUUUAAAGACCCAACCAAAGCAUCACCAAUUUUUGUGCAACUCCAGUCACUCACACACACACUCACUAACUUACUCACUCUCACAUGGCUUAAUGAGCAAAAGAGAACCAAAUAAAUGUAUAGUUUACUGCAGACCCCCCCUAUGGAGCCCAUGGAACAAACUCCCAAGGCAUCUUGGAAGGAAGCCAACCCCAAUCAUCGUGUUACAGAGAGAAAAUGCAGGAACCCAAUAGAAAUUUACCAUUCAAAAAUCCCUCAAGAAAUCUAUGUGAUACCAAUUCUUAUUGCAAAGGUGAGAACAGUACAACUAGUAGCUCCUUGUACAUUUGGGAGCAUCAAUCAUAUCAUUGCAUAACACAAUGCACAUUCACAUCAUGCAAAAUAGGGUAAAACAGGAAAGUUUGAAAGACAAUAACCAUGUAAUAGCACACAAACAACUAAGCACUUUUCUAAACACCUUCCAAACACCAUUAUAUCCUCGAAGCUCCAGUUCUUCUUUCAAGUCUUGGAAUCUGUCAACCUCCUGAGGUUAUAAAUGAAAAAUAAGAUUAAUAAAGAAAGCAGGAUCACUUUUCAAGACAGAGAGUGAGAUGUAAACAUCAUUAGAAAAGGAGCACACAAGGAAAGAACUGAAUAGAAGUAUUUUCAUCAAAUAAUUAUUCAGAAGGACAAUACAGUAACAGCACUACAUAUAACAUUAAACCAUGCAUUAAUACAUGACAAUAGGAAUAAAGGGGCUUGUUCAUUGUUAUCAACAGAGUUUACAAUUCUUGUUACAAGUCAAAGGACAAAAGUUGAAAGGUCUUUUUAAGCAAUGAGUAAUAAAAUCAGAAUGUCUGAUUCAUAACACAUAUCACUCCUGUACUAACUCUUAUGCUUCAGCCUAAACCAGAACAGUAUAGGCACAGCAAUGAAAAGAAAAUAUUAAGAUAAAUCAAACCAAGCAUAUGAAGGCAACCAUUGAGGAUUCUGAAAAAUACAUUAAAGAACCAUCUGCCAACAUUUGUCAACACACAGAUGACCAUUAUUUAAAAGACUAGAUGUACUUGAGCAGCAGCAAAAUUUCAAAAACAAGAUUGAGCUGAUAAUUUGCACAGUUAAAGCCAAACUUUGACUCCCCAGACUGCAAACACAGAAUACGCCAUUUAUGACCAAAUGAAAAUAUGCUAAAUAGCAGCUUGCUGUGUAUGAAAAAGAAAAUCAAACUAGGCCCCCCUUCCCAAACCCAAAAAGAAAAAAAAAAAAAAAAACUAUAGCAGUCAUAUGGAGUAAAUCCCCAAACAUGUAAUGGAAAAAAUGCCAUACUCACAUAGAACCCAAAGAUCUCCAGCCAAAGUUCCCCUCAAAUGGUAAAAUCCAAAUUAUCCUUCACCAAGUUGUCUCAUUCAUAAGAUACCUACAUUCUUUGCAUCCUCAUCACAAUACAUAUGCAUCUCAGAUAACAUUCUUUUCUACUCUAACUACUAUAGUUUUGGUAAUUUAAGGUGGAGGGAGCAGUUCAUUAGAAACCUGGCAAAAUUAUAUCUCUUCAUUUUUCCAUUAUAAUGUUCCAUUUGCCAGUCUCUUCACAAAGGACCGUGAUAGUAAAUAUAGUGAAUCAAUGACAUUUAAGUUACAAUUCCAUUCACUUGCUUUAUAAGGUCUCACUAUAUAAGGAUGACUACCAUGUAAAUCGGUUUCUCCUUUAUGCACUUUUAUAAAACCUCAGCUCUUGAUCCUUAGUUUGAGUUUGAAACCUCUUAACCCAGAAAAUGUUACACAUGCUAAAGAAAAUCCACACAAUCAAAUAUUUAGAGAAUGAAACCUUAAAACUCACGUUCCAUGGAAAGCAUUCGUGAUUCAGGGUCUUAAUCAGCAAACUCAACUAAGCUACAUCAGUAGAUUUAGGGGAAUUCAGGAGGUUUGAAGCUCUGAAAAAGAAAUGCUCAUGCUGAGCUGAUUUUCUCAGACUAUACACUGAAUUUUUUCCGAGAGCUCUGAAUGUAUAAAGGAAUUGAGAUAAUUCUUGCUGGAAAUAGCACAGAGAAAGAUCUCAAUAAUUAAGAAGACAGCAAGCAGAGGAAAAACUACAUUUCUGAAAAUCUCUUCGUUUCAAAAUCUGUUCCCAAAGAGUGCCGAUACAUAACUUUUUUUUCACGGGCAUAAUAAACUUGGAAAAUAGUACUACCUGGUACCCAAGUGAAAUUAAACUAGGCGAGAGUGGCUGCUUUUACAGCUUGACUACAGCUGACCUAGGCAACAUAAAAGUCACAAAAUGCCAGGAUACUGCACUCAACUUAGUGAAACUACUAGACAAAAAAACAAAUGCAUGACUACUCAAACCAGGAAGAUAAAUCCAAAACAUAACAUCUAGAUGAGCGUCAAGUGGGAAUCUUGAUGGCCACAUAUAUGUUACAAUUCAACUCUCCAAUCCCUUUGAGUUAUCAACCAAUUCUUUACAUGGCGUCAUUUGCAUCAGUUCAACGCUUUCCUUACCCAAAGCAUCAUAUAACAAAGAAUCCAAGAAGAGAGUUCACAUAAUGCAGAUGGUGUCAGUUCUGACAAAAUCUUCCUUGAAUUUUGAUAGCAUCUAGACAUAAAUUCAUCUUCAUUAGAGGAAUAAGGUAAAACUUAAGUGACCAUAAAUGCUGCAGAUUAACCUGAAAACACAAUAUAUCAGCUGACCAUAACCGAAGCUCAAAAAGAAUACUUCUCUUACGCCACUUCCAAUCCAACAUAUGGCGAGGUACGUGAAAGUAAAGCUUAUGCUGAUGAUCUGUAGCCAGGUAAUCAGCAAGUAUGUUGUACGAUAGAACUGUAAACCGCUCUGCAAAAGUUAAUAUGGACCAAUGGAAACUCAAAAUACUGAGUUUAAGAUACAACCAUACAUCGGAAAUUAACUCACAGACAAAACUAAAACCUUUCAACUUAUGCUUCAAUAUGAAGAUUCAGCAGCCAAAAGAACUGAAAUGCCAUGGAUUAAGAAAUUCUCAAAUUUGUAAUAGCCAGACGAAGUAUAAAGCAAAAAAUACAAACUUAGAAUAAGAAGAAAUUUGGCCCUUAAUAACUUGAUCUUUUUCAGCAUUAAUAUUUUUAAGUAGCAUUAAGUAUUACUGUCUUAUCAAGUAUACUCCAAGAGAAAUCCUACUCAAACCAAAUAACCGUCCUGCCUCAUAAAAAACCUGGCUGUCCUCAGUCCUCAUAACCAUGCUGUAAAUCACACUGGAUAAGCCACACCAUAAAAGUAUUUCUUAAAAGCAUUCUCAAACUCCCUUUUUUUUACAGAAAUUUGAAGAAAAAAAUUCAUAAAAACAAAUUAAAUUUGCCUGUUUCCUAAAGAAAUAAUGCUGGUUCCACUUCACAGACUUACUGAAAAGAGAUAGGAGAAUUGUAACCUUAUAUCUUUUGCUGGCAAGUACUUUUAGCUGCUGAUGAGUUGUGCGGUGAGAAAUUUCUUAAUUUAUGACAUUAAUAGACAAUCUUGCAAUCCUUUAAAAUUCUCACUCCCCCUUAUGCCUAAAAAAAUUUAAGACGGAUAUCUUUGAACUUUCUAAUAGUAACAAUAAGAUAGUUUCAACUAUAUUUAAAUAGAUUGGAUGAGUUUGAAACCCCAGAGGGUGCAAUACGCAUCAUGCUCAUCAUAGGGUAACCAUGGAUUGCUAAUCGCAUCAGUUGCUUCCUGAAUAAUUGAUUGAAUGAUACAACUAUAUCUCAUAAAUCCCUCUCAAGCAUAUCAAAUCGCAUGUAGCACAGAUGUAUGUAUGAAUUUUUGGGACAUUUCAUUAUUUCAGCACCUUAAAUCUUAUAUACGCUGCUCAUGUUUGAGUUCUUUCUUCUAAUUGAUAAAAACUGCAGAACACAUCAUCAUUGAUUCAGCACAAAACUUUAGACAGGCCAUUAAGCAGUUGGUAGUUCAAAAGGCUAUAUAAGACGAAGGUAUAAAGUUGAAUUAGUGAAUUCCACUUAGCUAAAUACAAAUUGCCAUGAACCCAGAGCAAAAAUUCAUUUUAUAUCUUAAUAACUCCACGUAAUAUUUAUCCAAUCCACAGGAAUUGUUUGUGAUAGUAAUUCCAUUCAAGUAGUAAUAUUCAUCAAAUUCAUAAUAAAUACAAAGAUUACAAAAAAACAAGCAAUAUACCCCAUUCAGGAGGAGGCCCGGGUUUCGCAUGCUCCCAAUUUCUAUAUUCCAAGUCCUUCGGAGGCCUUGGCCUAGGCUGCCACGGCUGCUGCUGCCACGGUCUAAACUGUUGGUUAAAAUUAUAAUGUGGCUGUGGUGGUCUAUAAGCUUGCUGAUUUUGAUCAACAGGUGGCUGCUGUUGUGGCGCCGGCGAAGGUCUAUGGAACUGACCGACAGACUGCUGCUGCUGUUGUUGUGGCCGAGGAUUGUAAUAAUUAGGCCGAGGACUAAACCUAGUAGAUGAUUGAAAGUUAGAGUUAGAGUUUCCUCUGCUAUAUGGUGGUCGAAACCCUCGGUUGGAGUCUUGAACUUGCCGGAAGUGAGAGUCGCCAGUGACAAAUUGCUCAGCAGUGUCCCUGCCGUCGACUGAGGGACGGUCGGAGUAACUUCUCCGACCACGGCCCCGACCCCGGCCUCCUGUAAACUGUGUAUAUUCAAACAAAAUUUAAAAUUUUACAGAACAAAUUAACAUAUGUACAGAUGAAAACAAGAUAGCUAGUAUUUAGUGAUAGAAGAGGUAAUACUGUUAUGCUAGAGUACGGGGGCUCACCGAGGUGCGAGACAACAUCACAGUGCAGGUGGUGCUGGUGGCAGCGACGGCGGCGGUGGUGGAGGCGGCAGCGGCAGUAGCAGAAGAGAGCAAAUGGAGGGAAUAGCAAGAGCGUUUCAUGAGCGACGAGCGAUGAAAAUUUGUUCUUUGCAUUUUAUAGUUUUCUCUUGGGAACAAAAUUUUUGAUUGCUAUGUACCCAUUUGAAAUUGGAUACCGGUUACCAAAAUUGGGUACCCAUGUUUUUUUCAUUUCAUUUAAUUUAUUUAUUUUGAAAAAACAAAAAAAAGCCCUCGUGAAUGGUGUUUUUGCUAUUUUUUUAAAUUUUUUGUUGCCAAUUUGAAUGAUGUGUUUAUCUUUUUUUAUUUUUUUCAGUUUGAGCAAGAUUCAAGUUUCAUAAACGGAGAAUGUAGAGUUUGAGGAAUUAGACCAAUGAUCUCACUCUUGAUUGGACUAAUAUUCUCGGGGAAAACUAUUUGUGUUCAUUUUGCUUUUCAAUAACAAAAUUUUUUAAGAAAAGAAAACCAUUUGGAAAAUUUUGCCUAUUGCUUUUUUUUUUUUCCUUUUAAGGGAAAAUUUGUGAAAUAGGAAUAGAAAGAUUCAUUAAUAAAAAGGGUGUAAGUUUUAAAAAAACUUUUGAAUGAGAUAUGUGAUACUUUUCAUAAAUUACGAACAAUGGAUAAAAUAUGAUUUUACUCUUUUGUGGACACACUAGCACUUGUUCAAGCACAAACACUCGUAUGUGUAGAUUUAUGCAUAUGUAGAGGUGGCAAAUCAACCCACUUAACUAAAUUUAUCCAUACCCGUCCAUGAAUAGAUGGAUAUGGGUAUCUUAAAUUUUUGUAUAUGGAUAUAAAUGGGUUACCCAAUAAUACCUAUUUAUUAAAUGGGUAUUAUUGGGUAACCAUCAAAUCCAAUUAACCCAUUUAAAAUUCUCUUCCCUCCAAGUCUCUUCUUUUCCCUCACCCAUUUUUUUUAAAAAAUUUUUUCAUUUUGUCAUGAUAUUAACUACUUUUGUUUCAUUAUUAUUAUUAUUUGUUGAUUUUAUCUUAUUAUUUUAUUUUCUCUUAGUUUGUUAACUUACUCAUUUUUGGAUUAAGUUUUUAUAUUAAUUUUUAUAUUACUUAGUUCAAAUUUUUAUAUUCUUAUUAUUCAAUUAUUAAAUAACAGGUAAUUUUGUGACAUUGAGUAUAAAUGAAAAAAAAAAUUGGUAAUUAGGCUUAUUGAACAUUAUAAGUAAAUAUUUAAAACUAAUGAUGGGUACAAAGAGCAGUACAAAUUGAUAACUUAGUUUGCAAAAAUGAAUUUAAAUGAGUUUACAAAAAGUUAAAAUAAAUGGGUUAUAAAUGGGUAAUUGGGUUACUCAAUUCAUUUUUUGACUUAUCCAUUUAUACCCAUCUAUUUAAAUGGGUAUAAAAUGGGUUGACUCAUUUAUACCCAUUACCCAUUUUACCCAACCCAAACCCGUCCAAGUCACCCAUUUUGACACCUCUAUGCAUAUGUAUAUGCAUCUAUAUCAAUUCAAAUAUGUACUUUCAGAUAUCUACGUAGUUCACCAAAGUGCACAUUAUAUUAGUUGGUGCAGCUUUGUAUUUGCAUAUUCGAAUGUGUGUUCACCAAUUAUGGCAGCAAAGGGGAGAAAGAACAUUGCACGGCCAUCAAUUGGAUCAUCAGAUCUCAUCUAUAAAGUAAUAAACCAAAGUUAGAUACCUGCCUCUAGUUUGGAAGUUUAGGAUAGAAAAGAAAAGAAAAGAUACCUUAAGUUAUGAAAGAAAAGAAAAGAUGGGAAAAGGAAAGAAGAGAUUUUAAUGUUGUUUGAGAGCUUAAAAGAAGAAACGAAAAGAUUUUGGAUAUAUAUGUCAUUAAAAAACACAAUUGGCAUUUCGAAAAAAAUUUUUAGGUACUCUUCCACUUUUUAUCCAAAAUAGGCAGAAAACUUUUCUCUACUGUGGCUUCAAAAUAGAUCUAACCAAAUCAGCCCAUCUCCCUUCUUUUCCUUGCAAACGAGGAAAAUUGAUUUCCUUUAUCGCUUUCUUUACUUUUCUGGCCAAAUCUCUCCACCCAAACGCACUUUUCUUCGGUGUUUUUCAACCGUUUGGAGCAGACCCAUGUUAAUAACGCAAAAUAUCAAGUUAAAGUUUUUUUCUUUUUUCUACAACGACAACAUUUAUCUUAUUUUUACACCAACCUACAUUAUAGGGGAAGGGAAGAGUAAGAAGUCUUGUCUGAGAGUUGGGGGUAAACCAUUAGACCAAACAAGUACACCACUGUACUUUCUAAGAUUUUUUAGAAACAAAGGAAGCACUGUACUUCCUUAUGAUGCAAUCGAGUUUGAAAACCUAAUCUGGUCAUUGGCCAAGGCCCAAUAAUCAUUAAAGCCGGGCAAGUAAAUGGAAAUUCUCUACUAUGUCUUUAUUCCCAUAACCAGGACUUUUGAUGGAAAUAUGGACUCACCAAUCAAGGCAAUUGAAUCAGUUAAACUCCUACUACUAUCACAAAAAAAAUAUAAUAUAAAAAUAAAAAAUUUUAUUUCUUGCUAAGCUGAAAGAUGACACGUCAUUUUGCAACUUAGUGCAACAAAAAGUUGUUUCAGGCAUUGGGUAUCAGUCAUGAAAUACCAUAUAUUAAGAAACCCUCAAUUUGUAAUAGCCAGAUGAAGUAUAAAGUGAAACAAAAGACCUUAGAACAAGAAGAAAUUUGGCCCUUUACUUGAUGGCUUGAUCCAUUAAGUAUUACUGUCUUAUCAAGUUUACUCCCAAGAGAUAUCCAACUCAAACCAAAUCACAGUAAAUAACCAAGCUGUCCUCACUACUCAGAAUCAUGCAGUAAAUCACAGUGGAUAAGCCACACCACAAAAGUAGUUUUUAAAAGCAUUCUCAAAAUCCUAUUGUUUACAGAAAUUUCAAGAAAAAAGUUCACAAAAUAAUUAAGGAAGUUGCCUAUUUCCUAAAGAAAUAAUGCUGGCUUCACUUCACUGACUUACUGAAAAGGAAUAGGAAAAUUGAAACUUAUAGCUUUCUUGGCGAGUCAGUUUAGCUGCUGAUUAGUUGUGGGGAGUGAAAAUUUUCUUAAUUUAUGACAUUAAUACUAUUCAUCGUACAAGACAAGCUGGCAAUCCUUUAAAAUUCUCACUACUCCUUCAAAAUUUUAAGAUAGAUAUAUUUGAACUUUCUAAGUUUCAAAAAAGAUCAAUAUACAUAGGGCCAGUUUGAAAUCCCAAAGGGUGCAAUGUGCGUCAUGCUUAUCUUAAGUUAAACCUAAAUUACUAAUUGAAUCAGUUGCUCACCGAGAUAACUGAUUGAAUAAAACAAAUAUAUCCCAUAAAGCGCUAUCAAAUUGCAUGGCAAAUAUGUUGUAUGAAUUUUCGGGACACCUUGAAUCUUAUAUACACUGUUUUAGGGCUGCAAACGAGUCGAGUCGAGUCGAGUUUUGAGCUAAUCGAGCCGAGUCUCGACUAAAUUUUACCAAGCUCGAGCUCGACGAGCCGGCAAAUUUCGAGCUCGAGCUCGACUCGAAUCAAGUCGAGCCGAGCUCGAGUUCGAAAAAAAUAAAAAAUAAUUAUUUUAUUUUUAAAAAAAUAAAUAAAAUAAUAUUUUUUUCUUAAUAAAUAAUAAAAUAUUAAGGAUAUAUACGUAAUUUUACUAUGAAAAUAAAAAAAUAAAAAAAAAUAUAUAUAUAUAAUAUACGUAAUUUUAUUAUUAAAUAUAUAUAUAUAUAUAUAUAUAUAUAUAUAUAUAUAUAUAUAUAUAUAUAUAUAUAUAUAUAUAUAUAUAUAUAUAUACCCAAUCUCGCGAGCCGGCUCGCGAGCUAACGAGCUUAAUAUUCUGAGCUCGAGCUCGAGCUCAAGUUUGACUCGAGCAGGCUCGAGCUCGACUCGAUCUCGAUAUUAAUCGAGCUCGACUCGAGCUUGACUCGAGCGGCUCGAUUCGUUUGCAGCCCUACACUGUUCGAGUUCUUUCAGCUAAUUGAUAGAAACUGCAAAAGACAUAAUCAUUGAUUCAAAGGAAAAGUUUAGACUGGCCAUUAAGCAAUCAGUAGUUCAAAAGGCAAGAUAAGACAAAGAUGUAGAGUUGAAUUUGUGAAUUCCACUUUAGCUAAAAAUGGAUGGCCUUGAAUUCAGAGCCAAAGAAUUCAUUCAAAAUAAUUGUCAAUAAUUCCAAGUAAUUUUCAUCAAAUCCACGAGAAUUGCCAGUGAUAGUAAUUCCAUUCACCAUUCAAGCAGUAAUCUUCAUCAUUUUCCAAAGAAAUACAGAGAUUUCAAACAAACAAGCAUUAUACCCCAUUUAGGAGGACCUCCGCGUUUCGCAUACCGCCAAUUCUUAAGAGCCUAUGAUUGGUUUUCUCAACUCAAAUAAGUGCAAUCUGCUAAACUUUUCUUCCUUGUGAUGUAAAUGGCCAUUAGCAGAGUUGGGCAGCAUGGAUUGCUUUGGUAAUCAAUGGACAUUGAGAGAACAAAAGAUUAUUGCCCUAAGUACCCUAGCUUUUAUCCAUAUGCGCGUCAACUAGGAUAGGGAUCAGUUUUAGUGAUUGCUGAGUUUAUAUGUUUUUUUUUACUAAUCUCUCUUGUACCCAAUAAAAUACACUUGUGCCAGGCAUUGACCCCAUUACCUAAUUUGCAUCUAUAAUUGAUGAUUGCCAGAAAAUGCAACAAUGAAUCAUACAAUCCAUCAGCACGUGCAAGUGCAGAUAAGGUCCGGGCCUUGAGUAAUAAACUAGGUAAGCCAUUUGCUUUUUAAAGGCUUUGUACCUGGCUUGAGAACAAAAGCCUUCAACGCAGACACAGUAUGAAAUCUAAGUCCAUUGUCCUAGUACAUGGAUUGGUAAAUGAGAAAUUACAAGCCAUCACACAUGUCAAGUACUCUUUAAUCAUGCCAUAAGCGAAAAACUACAACAGACGCUAAAGAACAGGUCAUUCGCAUUCAAGACUUUAAAGUCUUCAUCUUUUUGCAAAUUCGUGGAUAAGAAACCUUCCCCUUUCCUAGGUUAUUCAUCUGCUGAUUCCUCUUCUUACUUUUAUUAGCCUCUCGUUUAGAAUUCUUGAUGCAGUUAUGCUCUAACAAAGCUCUAUCCAAUUCAAGUCCAUCCAGCUAGGGGUGAGCAUCGAAUUCGAAUUCGGUAAUUCGGUAGGUUGAAAUCGGUAAUUUUCGGUAAAUGGUGUUGGGAUAUUUCGACCUAAUUCGUAUUCGAAUUACCAAAUUUCGAAUUCGAAUUCAAUUUCAGAUUGAAUUCGGUAAACACAAAUUGACCGAAUUGUCCGAAUUCCUGAAGCAAUCGCAGCCUGUUUUGCUUUGUAUAAUAAAAUAAUUUCUAGCAAUAAAAUAAGUGAUGUUCACAAUUAUCAUUCAUAAAGCUGCACCAAAAUAAUCAAAAAAUAGAAGUAGUAAUCACGUCCAUAGGCACAAUAGCCAGAUGAUUGCACUACCAAAUCACAACAUAUAAAACCUCUUCCCAGUAGCUACCGCCUACCAGUUCAAAACAGCAUUACUUAAGAAAUCACAAAUCCAAACAGAAUCUAGAAAACUUCAAAAUUACUAACUAUCCCAAACUUCAUACAUAUCCAGAAAUGACAAAUCCACAAAUCCAGAAAUCAUAAAUCCACAAUCAGAAAUUACAGAAAUCAAUCCAGAAAUCAUAAAGGUCAAUUAUCUAGAAACAAUCCACAAUCCACAAGAACAAACAAUUAUAGGUGGUUCAACUCUCAAACUUCAGCAUUUGUGACCUCUCAAAGGUCAAUUACAGUUGAUUCAGUUCCGGUCUUCAGCAACUCUGCAAGAACAAACAAAAUUCAUGAAGUAUCAUAAAGGCAAUUAUUAGAAAUAAAGAAAUACUUCAAAUUUUGCAAUAAAAAUUUUGAUAGCAUACCAGAUUCGAAGGCUUCAAGUUCUUCCAGAUUUUCUUCUACAUUUAAUUCUGUCUUGGAGGACCGAAACCAAUCUUGAGCACAUAUUAAACUUUGCACAAUUCUAGGAGUCAAAGAACUCCUAAAUGUAUCAAGAACACGACCUCCGGUACUAAAAGCAGAUUUGGAGGCCACAGUAGAAAUUGGGACUGCUAACACAUCACGAGCAAGUUUUGAAAGGAUUGGAAAUCUAAGGCUAUUGGCCUUCCACCAUAACAAGAUAUCAAAUCUCUCAUCAUCUUCCUCACAAUCCUCAUUCAAAUAUUUCUCUAAUUCAAAUUUUGCAUCCCUACCCCCAAGUUCCAUUUUUCUCUUCUUAAACUCCAACUUGUACCGAUCAGUGAUUGUUUUAGAGGCAUCCCCAUGUCCAUAAAAUGUAGUUUUACUCCUUUGAGAUUCACUUGAAAGUGAAGAAACAUGAGACACAGAAUUUGAGGCAGGUGUGUUGAGCAUCUUGUAUUCAUUAAACAGCUCAAACAUUGCAUCUUUUGCAAGGCCAGCUAUUGUUGUACCAUCGGACUCACCAUACAUUUGGCAAACCACAAAUUCAAGGUAUUCAAGUUUAGUUCGAGGAUCAAGCAUGGAGGAAAUAAAAAUCAGCAUAUUCAUCUUUUCAAUCUUUCCCCAAUACUUAUCAUAUUUCUCCUUCAUUGAUCUUGCCAUUGAACUUAAUUCUUCAUUAUCACUUGCUGCCAUUUCAAUUAAAAUGCCAUGUAUGUGACUAAUAUCAGUGAAAAAAUUAUUUGAAGUCACAUAUUUGGAACCAGAAACCUUCACGGUUAGCUGAUAAAAGUUCUCCAAAAAAAUUACCAAGAAUCUAGCUUUUGUCCAAUCAGAUUUUGUUGGCAGAUUUUCUAACUCUUGAAGCAUGUAAGGAUCCUGCUCCUCGAACCUCUCAAAAGCCCGCUCAAACCUUUGAGCCGUGUCUAGCAUUAGAUAUGUAGAAUUCCACCUAGUAGAGACAUCUAAACAGAGCAAUCUUUUGCAUUCAAUUUUUUCAAUUUCCACACAUUCCUUGAAUUUUUUCAAUCUAGAAGGUGACUGUCUAACAUAUCUAACUGCUGCCCUGAUACAAUCAACUGAAUCCCCCAGUUUUUUGAUGCCAUCAUUAACAAUUAGAUUCACUAUGUGAGCUACACACCUCACAUGAGUCCAUUUCCCCCCUAACACAGCUUUCCCCCAAUUUUGAAGUUUUCCUCGUAAAUAGCUGACAGCUACAUCAUUGGAACUUGCAUUGUCAACUGUAACAGUUAGGAUAUCAUCAACUCCCCAUUCUAGUAGACACUUUUCUAUGGCUUUACCAACUUCAGUUCCCUUGUGACUAGCAAUAGGACAGAAAUUUAGGAUCUUUUUAUUCAGUUUCCAAUCAUUAUCUAUGAAAUGGGCAGUGAGGCACAUAUAGUUUAUCCUUUGAAUGGAUGUCCAAGAAUCUGUGGUUAGACAAAUUUUGCCACUGUUAUUCUUCAAGAGAUGUUUCAACUUAAUUUUUUCAUCUAAAUACAGCUGAUAGCAAUCUCUAGAAAUAGUCCACCUCGAAGGAAUUCUAAAUGAUGGACAAGCAGUCCGCAUCAUGUAUUGAAAUCCUCUACCCUCUACAUGUUUAAAUGGCAACUCAUCAACAAUUACCAUAUAAGCUAUGCUUUUUCUAAUGGCUUCCGCAUCAAAUUUCCAACUUAUGAGUGCCCCUUUAACCUCUCCCUCUAAUGUUUCAGUUUCACCCAAACACAAAGUAGCCUGGCCAGUGUGCUUAUUUUUAGGAUUUAAAGGACAUUUAGCUACAUGAGUAUUAAGAGGAGUCGUACCAUGACUUUUGGGAUCCGCAGCUAUGUCCUUCUCACAGUAUUUGCAAAUUGCAUGACGAACUCCAUUCACAUGCUUUACAUGAAAAUGAUCCCAAGCUUUGGAACUCUUCUUGUACUCUCCUCUUUUCUUGCCAAAACCAGAUUCUUCACAGCUUUGUGUUGUAGGACUAGGAAGAAGACCUCUAGAUGAUCCUUCUUGUUCUAGCUCAUUGUGACUUGGAUUACUCUCACCAUCAUUAGUAGUAGACAUACCUUAAGUUUUGCGAGAAUCUGAGCAAAUAAAUUAUACAAUUUAGUGCAACAAUCAUUUAGCAAUAAAAUUGAAAUAAAAGACUAGAUGAAAUUGAAGCUCAGGACAACAUUCAAUGAACGCUGAGAAAAUCAACUAGAACCAACUCAGAACCAAUUAGAUGAAAUCUGAGCAAAUUCAAUGAAGCCAGUCACUUUCUUAUCAUAGAACAAACUCAAGACAGAAACCAUAUAGGAAGCAUUAACAUCACAAUGCAGAAAAAGAAGAGGUGAUUCAUUACUGGUUUAGUGCAAGUUAUCUAGAUUCAAACUGGGGCUCUAGUCUAGCUAGCUUGGAUGCUCUAAAGUGGGCCAAACAACAUUUGCCAGCCAAUAGGCAUACUCGACAGCACAAGUGUUGAAGAGCAACUGUAAACAGCUGAAAAAUGAGCCAGUACCUACCUAUCCUGGCCCUAGAAUGGGAUAGCCUUUCUGAACUUUGUCAACUUUUUUCCUUCCAAAGGGGAAAAAAAAACAUACAAGAGAAAUAAAAAAACAAGAAAGGAGGGAAAGUGAGAGAUCAAGAAACUAAAUCAAAAGAAAAAUUAAGGCUAAGGUAAAUGAAUCUUUGUAAUGAUUAUUUGGAAAAAGCAAACAUAUCCCUCAGAAUGCCUAAUAUCCACCUGGGAAGAAGCUAUGGUUCCUCAACCUUAGCACAAUCAGCAUUGCCAGAAGGGAGCACCAAUUUAUAGUCACAGCUUUCAGAUUACUAAAUGUUUCAUCAGUGGGAUAUCAAAAGUUUGAUAUAAUUAGUCAAGAAUCAACCUCCCACAAAUCUUGAAACUUCAAAUAAAUGAGAAGAAUUUAAAAAAAAAAAAGACCCAGAAAAUUUCAUUUAAAACCACAAACAGGAACCCCAACAACUAUAAAAAUCAAGAACAACAGAUAUAAAAGAAUGAAUGAAUCAGAAAAUUGGAUCAAAAGCAGAUUUGUAAAUGCAAAGAUUAAGAAGAAUGUUUUAGAGCAAGCCUUGAUGACAAAAUGUUUGCAGAUUUCAUUUUCUCCAUUAAGCUCAAAGCCUUGUCAAAACUUCCAAAAUUGAGAUGGACCUGUGCCAUUGUCGUGUAUGUUUUCUGAUCACUCAAUAGGCCAAGCUUCUCCACCUCUUCAAACGUCUUCUGAGCAUCCUCGUACAAACCAAGUUUUCCAUAUAUUCUAAUAAGUAAACCAUAAAUGACUUCAUCUGCAACUAUGCCAUAUCUUUCCAUUUCAGAGAAAAGAGAAAGGGCUUUCCAAUAAUCCCCAAUUUUCUAGUUCAAUUCGAAUCCAAUCCACCUAAACUACUCUUAUCCAAUUCAAAAACUCAUAACUUUUAUCAAGAUUCAAUCAGGAAGGAAAUUGAGCAUCAAACAUCAUACAAGUUCCACUGAAAUUAAAUUAGCCCAUAUAAAAAAACUAGCAAAUUAAACAACGACAUCCAGAAUCAAAUACCAAAAUAAAAAAAAAACACCAAAUGAAAAUCCAAUUAUUGAGUCUUUUUCAUAAACCCAUUUAUCUGAUAGGCUUAUCCAAGGCUUCACUGGAAUCAGCACCAGCGAACUGUGGUCCUGGACCUCCUGGUGAUAGUGGAUGCUCGGUCAGCAAUGGUGAAACCUCGGUCAGAAUGGGAAACGGAGAAAGAGUCUAGGGGUGAGCUUUGAGCUUUCUGUAGUUGAGGAGAGGAAAGGACAGAGGACUGACUGAGGAGAGGACUGAGCAGAAUGAGGAGAGGAGAAGAAACGAGAGAAAGAGGGGAACUGAAGAAGAUGGGACUGCGCCGCGGCAGUGCAGAGGAGCGAGAGGAAGAGGGGACGAAGAGCGGAAGAGGCCUGGAGAAAAGUAGCGAGUUUAGGCUUUAGAAUUAGGGCACCACGUCUGAAAAUCUGAAAUUGGACCAAUAUGAAUAUCGGACAUAAUGAACUACUUCCUAUGUAACUUAAUUCGGGAAUUUCGAAAUUGAAAAUGGUAUAUUAUUACCGUUUUACCGAAAUUAAUUCGAAUUCGGUAUAUCCGAAUUCAAAAACUAUAAAACCGUUUUCGAACCUAAUUCGAUUUUAACUAGUACUAUAUCCCCGAUUUACCGACCGAAUUACCGAAUUACCAAAUUCGAUUUACCAAAUUGAAAUCAAUUUCGGUCGGUAAAUCGGUAUUUACCGUAAUUGCUCACCCCUACAUCCAGCGAUGCUAAGGUAAUGCAAUAAGGAAGCACAGUAGGGUGAUAUUUAAAAUGAUAUCCCAGCUUCACAACAUCAGAGUGCUGCAAUAUCCCUCUAGAGCUGAAGUUGUACGACGUAACAUAUCCUCCAGUCCUUGUAAUUAAAACCUCAUUGUGAAAUGGCAAGGGUUUCAAUUCAAAAUUAAAAUGCCCUCUAGGAGGAGAUUUUGAAUAGGAUGGCAAUAAAUAUGGAUCAUCUACUACACACCAAAGCUUCUCAAUGAAACCAGCUAGAGGCAACUGGUGCUUCAACAUCCAACUAGGCUCACGAUAACUUUCUAACUUCCAGACCUGAACUUCACACCUAUAAGCAAAUAUAUAAUGGAAAUCUCUCCUAGAUUCCCCUAAGCAGAUACCUACGUGACAUUCAUACUAUCAUAAGGUAUAACACUAGGUAACUUGAUAAUACUUCAUAGUUCCUGCUCAACACGAAAAACUACAAUGUGGUGGUCAUAUGUCAACCAGUAAAACCUCUCCUUCACAAAAUCAUUGGUUUUCCAUAAAUAUUGGAGCUACAAUUACAAACUUCCUUGGAGAUUUUCCUGCUCCACGUCUUUGAUGAGUGAAUAGCAAAAGCAUAUGCAUUUGGGAUUUCUUUUGAGUGUAUAAUGCUUACCAACUUGAAAUUUAAUGAGUUUCGUGAAUUGAAUGGAGAGAUAAACAUUAAAGUCAUAGCAAGGGAUCCAACUUUUCCAAAUUAUUUAGUGCUUACAGUAGUCCACUAAGUGUAGUAAUUGUACUUAAUGUUGUUAGAAAUAUUUAUUGCUGUUAGUUAAUCAUGUUUGUUUGUUUUGUUCUACCUAAUUAGUGGAGUUAGUGAAGUUAAUGGAGUAGUUAGUAAAAUUAGUGGAAUUAGUGGAGUAGCUAGUGGAAUCAUUAGUAGAGUUGUUUUGAACUCUAUAAAUAGAACAAUUUUAUGUUAUGAGUUGAGGAUCAGUUUUACAAAGAAAUAAAGUCUAGUUCUUUACUUUUCUUAUUUUUCUCAGUAAUUAUAUCAGUGGCAUCAGAGCUAAGUUUGUGAGUAAAAAUAAAAGUGAGUUGUGAGAUUUGUAUUGGUAAAUCACGAUGGCCACUGACAACUUUAUGUAUCCAGCAGUUACUCGUUUUGAUGGUCACUAUGAUCAUUGGAGCAUGCUAAUGGAGAAUUUCUUAAGAUUCAAGAAGUAUUGACAGGUUGUCGAAUCUGGAGUAACAAAGCCAAAAGCCAGAGUAGUAUUGUCAAAGAUGCAGAAAACAGAGUUGGAAGUAUUGAAACUAUUGAUCGAACUAUCUUGGAGAUAAUUUUUAGCAAAGAUACUUCCAAAUAGAUUUGGGAUUCCAUGAAAAAGAAACAUCAAGAAAAUGCGAUGGCAAAAUGGGUGCAGUUUCAAUCUCUUCAGACUGAAUUUGAGACUUUACGCAUAAAGUCAAGCGAGUCGAUCACAUAUUAUUUAGCAAGAACGAUGGCAAUCGCUAAUAAGAUGAGGAUCUAUGGAAAGAAUUUGGAGGACGUUACCAUUGUCGAGAAGAUUCUUCAAUCGAUAACAGCAAAAUUUAAUUUUGUUGUAUGCUCUAUAGAGGAAUCAAAAGAUAUUGAUGCACUUUCAAUUGAUAAGUUGUAGAGUUUUUUAUUGGUUCAUGAGCAAAAAAUUAACCAAUAAGAGAAAGAGGAGCAAACAUUGAAGGUUUCAACAGAAAGUCACCUAACAUAGAUAGGAGGUAGAGACAGAGGUAGAGGUAGAGGAAACAAUAAUUGUGAUAACCAACAACAACAAUACCAGCACCAAGAAAAUCAAUUUCAAUAAAGAAGAAGAGGACGAGGAAGCCAUCAAUUAACAAUUCAAAGGCCAAAGUCAGUAGACAAGUCUAAUGUUGAAUGCUACAAAUGUCAUAUGUAUGAUCAUUAUCAAUCAGAAUAUCGAACUAAUUUGAAUAGACAAAAUGGAGAAAGAACUAACUUUGCAGAAAAAGAAGAAAAAAUAUCUCUUUUAAUGGUGUAUCACAUGAGUGAAGAAACUCAGCAAGACGUAUGGUAUUUAGAUACCGAUUGUAGCAAUCACAUGUGUGGAGAUAAAAUGACAUUCUCUGAAUUGAAUGAGUCAUUUCAUAAUACUGUCAAAUUUGGUGAUAACUCUACAAUUUUCGUUAUGAAAAAAAAGAAGGGUAACUACCAAACUAAAGAAAAUUUUACUCACAUUAUCGCUGAUGUUCUUUUUGUUUCAGAUUUAAAGACAAACUUGUUUAGUGUGAGUUAAUUGUUAGAAAAAGAAUACGAGAUUUCUAUCAAAGAUAGAGUAUGUCGGGUUCGAGAUGCAAAGUUGGGCUUAAUUGCUCAAGUUAUAAUGAUGACAAAUCAUAUGUUUUUACUCUAUUUGCAGAAUUUAACUCAUUCAUGUUUUUCAGCAAAAUCGACAGAUGUGGCAUGAUCAUGACAUUUUCAUUAUGGACACCUAAAAUUUAGUGGAUUAAAGACUUUGCAGCAGAAAAAUAUGGUGGCUGAUCUACCUCAAAUUAUAAUUUCUUCAGAAGUUUAUGAAGAGUGUAUCAUUAGUAAACAACAUCAAAAUAGUUUUUCAAAAAAAAUCAUGGAGAGCAAAGAACGUAUUGGAGGUGGUUCACUCUAAUUUAUGUGGACCCGUAAAUCCGCCAUCUCAUGGUGAAAAACGGUAUUUUAUGAUGUUUAUUAAUGAUUAUAGUUGAAAAUUUUGGAUCUAUUUUUUGUAGAAACAAUCUGAAGCAUUUUCAAUUUUCAAAAAUUUCAUGACUCUUGUCAAAAAGGAAGCAGACAAGUCUAUAAAGAUUCUUCGCAAUGAUCGUGGUCGAGAAUAUAAUUCACAAGAAUUUAUAAAUUUUUAUGAGAAGCAUAAAAGUAGCUUACAACAACUUAUAUACCACAACAAAAUGGUGUUUCAGAGAGAAAGAAUUGUACAAUUUUGAAUAUGAUAAGGACCAUUUUGACAGGAAAUGAUGUUUUAAAAAGUUUUUGAUCUGAAACUGUCAACUGAAGCAUUCAUAUAUUGAACAGAAGUCUCACAUUUGCUAUUAAAAAUAUAACACCAGAGGAAGUAUGGAGCGGAUAGAAAUCAACAGUGGAUCACUUCAGAAUUUUUAAAUGUAUUGUCUGUACUCAUAUUCCAGAGCAAAAGAAGACAAAACUAGAUAAUAAGGGAGAGCAAUAUAUUUUUCUUAGUGUUAGUGAUCAGUCAAAGAUCUAUAAAUUUUAUAAUUCUAUCACUAAGAAAAUUGUCAUCAGUUAAGAUGUAAUUUUUGAUGAGAAAAAUUGUUUACCAUGCAAUAACAAAGUUAGUAAACAACAAAUACCUGCUAAUUUUGAUAGAGUUGAUGAAAAGAAUAUACAGCAAUUGACAGAACAAAUUCCACCAAAUGGUUCAAAUGAUAUUCCAAAUUUCCAAACAGUAGCAGAAGAUGAAGGACGACCUCAACAUAUUAGAAAAAGACCUGUAUGGAUGAUCGAUUAUGAGGUAACUAAAAUUGACCAAUAUGAGAACCCACUUGCAUACUUUACUCUAUUUUUCGAUUGUGAUCUUACAAUUUUUGAAGAGACUAUCAAAGAUUUAAAGUAGCAGAAGGCAAUGGAUGAAGAAAUUGCAACUAUUGAACGAAACAAUACAUGGGAGUUAACUGAUCAUCCAGACGGACAAAAGUCAAUUGGUAUCAAUCGAGUGUAUAAGACAAAAUUGAAGAAGAAUGGAGAAAUUGACAAAUACAAGACACGUUUAAUAGCUAAAGGCUAUAAGCGAGAGUUUGGGGUGGAUUAUGGAGAAAUCUUUGCCCCAGUCGCAAGGUAUGACACGAUCAGGAUAGUGAUUGUAUUGACAGCACAACAUUCAUGACCUAUCUUCCAAUUGGACGUGAAAUCAGUAUUUUUACAUUGUGAUUUACAUGAACAGGUAUUUAUUGAUCAACCUCCUAACUAUGUGAAUGUUGGAAAUGAACAUAAGGUAUACAAAUUCAAAAAGGUAUUAUACAGAUUAAAACAAAUCCCACAUGCUUGGUAUAGUCGUAUAGAUACUUAUUUUUCUAAGGAGGGAUUUAAAAAGUUUUCAUAUGAGCAUACACUUUUUUAUAAAGAUUGGAAAUGGAGAUAAAUUGUUCAUUGUUUGCUUAUAUGUUGAUGAUCUUAUUUUUACUGGAAAUGAUAGUGCAAUAUUUGAGAAAUUCAAGAAAUCUAUGAUGGUUGAAUUUGAUACGUUUGAUCUCGGAAAGAUACAUUACUUUUUGGGUAUUGAAGUGGUGUAAUCUACUGUUAAAAUUUUUUUUCUCUCAAAAAAAAUAUGUGAAAGAAAUUCUAAACAAGUUUCAAAUGAAAAAUUGUAAUUCUAUUAGCACGCCAGUUGAAAUGGGUUUAAAAAUCAUUAAAGAACUUGAAGGAAAUAAAGUUGAUAGCACCCUUUACAAGCAAAUUGUAAAAAGCCUCAUGUAUUUGACAGCCACAAGGCUUGAUAUUAUGCAUGCAAUAAGUCUUAUUAGUAGAUACAUGGAAAAUCCAAAGGAGACACAUCUUCUAAUUGUCAAGAGAAUUCUUCGAUACUUGCCAGGAACCAUUGAAUAUGGACUGUUUUACAAGAAUGAUGAAAAAUCAAAUUUAUUUGGUUUUAUUGACAGUGACUAUGCACACGAUCUUGAUGAUAGAAAAAGUACGUGUGACUAUAUAUUUAUGAUGGAUUUAGCAGAUAUUUCAUGGUGUUUAAAGAAACAAUCAAUUGUUACUUUAUCAACAACUAAAGAAGAGUACGUAGCUGCAACAGCUUAUGCCUGUCAAGCAAUUUGACUAAGAAAAAUCCUUGAAGAAUUGCAUUUUCGGUAAGAAGGAGUUACUAUAAUUUAUUGUGACAAUAGUUCUGCCAUCAAACUUUCUAAAAAUUUAGUUCUACAUGGAAGAACUAAGCACAUAGACAUGAAAUUUCACUUUCUAAGAUAGCUUACAAGGGAUGGAAUAAUUGGUUUUCUCUACUGCAAAAGUGAAGAUUAGAUUGCUGACAUAAUGAUCAAACUAUUGAAAUUAUCCACGCUUCAAAAAUUACGGAAGCUGCUUGGAGUCUGUGCAAUUGAUAAGUACUAUUAAACUGAAUGUGUGAAAAACUUUCAGUUUAAGGGAGAGAUUGUUAGAAAUAUUUACUGUUGUUAGUUAAUCAUAUUUGUUUGUUUUGUUUUACCUAAUUAGUGGAGUAACUAGUGGAAUUAGUAGAGUAGCUAGUGAAAUUAGUGGAGUAACUAGUGAAGUUAGUGAGAUAGUUAAUAGAGUUAUUUUGAACUCUAUAGAGAAAUUUUAUGUUAUGAGUUGAGUAUCAACUUUACAAAGAAAUAAAAUCUAGUUCUUUGCUUCUCUUAUUUUCUCAGUAAUUAUAUCAAACGUUCCUCAAUGUAAAAUGAUAAGGAAGUAGACCAUCUAAGAUAAAAGCAACUGAUAGAGAAUUUUGGUUGACUCUAGUGGUUUGAGAAAUUUGUUGGAGGUACAAGUCUAGAGAUUUCUAAAGGGGUAAGAAUAUGAAAUUAUUUUUCCAUAACACUGACAAUAGGAGAAAAGUUUUAUAUUCUAUUUCCUUUUAAUUAGACAAUUUAAAGUCAAUUAUCAAAUAUUCACAUGUCACUAUUUGGAUUUUUUUCCCUCUAACAAAUUUUGCUUAUUAGGCUCUUUUUUUUUACAAUUUUUUUAAAAGUAAUUAAUUAUUAAUAUGUUCCCUAAUAUAUAUGAUCCUCUCGUGUGAAACUUUACUACCAUCAAUUAGAGUAUUCAAAAUUGACCCAUAGGUUAAAUUUCAUUAGGGAAUAGAAGUAGAUAAUUUAAAACUAAAUACUUAUCAUGAUAUAGGAGUAUUUUGUCUUUGAAGAGAUUAAGUGAUACAAAAUAAAGGUUAGGAGGUAAGGUAAGGAUCAGGUAUUGCUUAGGGGUAAGUGCAGUUUAUCCUCUUAAGGUAUAUCUGAUUCUUACUUUAUUCUCUAACAUUUAUAUUUUAUGUUAUUUAACCUCUUGAGAGAUAAAAAAAUCUCCCUCUACUAUGUAAAUUCUGGGUUAAUUAUAAAAACUUCCACUAAAGUUUAACUAGUUUUGUACUUUACCUCAUAACAUUAUUUUUUCUCACUUUACCCCCUAAACCGUUAGUCAGCUCUAACAUUGAGUAACAGAAAUGUCAAAAAGAUAUUGAUACCCCUAAGGGCUAAUUAUAGUGAAUCUCCUUCAAGUAUAUCUAUUUUGUACUUUCUUCUUUAAUAUCAUUUUUCUCUUAAUUUGUCUAUUCGUACCUAAAAUCAUUUGUCAACUCUAAUAUUUUUUAUUACUCAACAUAAAUUUUUUAGAUGUAAUAAAAAAAUUUCUUUAGAAAAAUUUAGCAAAUCAAAUAAAUUUUAAUAGCAUCUAAACAUGGUGAACAACUCUUAAAAUUUUGAACUCCAAAUCAAUCAUGUUUCUCUUUUUUAGUGUUAUUAAUACAAAAAAUGUAUACUUUCAUAUAAAAUAUAUAGCUAUUAAAGCCAUAUGCACAUUCCUAAAAAGAAACUGACAAUAUUCCAAUCAUUUGUAGACUUUUAAAAAUAUUUUUCAUAUUUUAUUUAAUAAUAAUUUUUGUUUGUUUUUCCCACUAUUGAAUCUAAUUAGCAAGAUAUUCUCCUCAACCCAAAAAAAUGUGUAAUUAUGGAAUGAAAUUUAACUAGGAUCAUAUAUAUAUAUAUAUAUAAAUUAUUAUUAUUUUUUAUUUUUUUAAAAUAUUGGUUUUUUAGAUAUUAAUUAUUCUAGGUGUUAUCAAAUAUUGGAGUUCAUUAUUGAUUUUAGUAAUAAAUAAAUAAAUUGAUAAAAAAAGAUAUUAGGGGAUAAAGAAGAAAACAAACAAUACUUUAAGGGGAUUUAGCGUAGUUAGCUCUUAGGGGUAUAAAUAUCUUUUUGACAUUAUCAUUAAACAAUGGGUUAAUCACAUUUUAUCCCAUUAAACAAUACCCCAUUUCUCAGUUUACCCUCUAACCUUUAAUUUUGUUCACUUAACCCCCUUUAGGACAAAAUUGCCCUUACAUUAUUUUGACUUUUCAUUUACCUUAUUUUCCUUUCUUUUAUUUCUUUUUCUCUUUCUUCUUUAUUUAAUUCUUCCUUUUUCCCACAAAAAUCUUCACCUUAAUGAUUGAAAUUAAAAAAGAGGAAUUGUAGAGAUCUAUCUUUUCCUUAAAUGAUUAAAAAAAAUUCAAAUCACUUUCCUAAAAUACAAUUUUUUUUAGCCUUUCAAUUCUUUUAAUUUUGGGUUUUCCUCUUUCCUUUCUAGUUUCUCAUUUUAUUCCCAAGAAAAUAUCUUAAGAUGAAAUUGUGACCUGAUUAAUAAUUAUCAAUUGAAAUUUGUGACACGUGACAUCAUACAAAAAAUCAAAAUUAGUUUUUGAUGUCUUUUAAACCUUCGCCCAAAAAUAUGCGAUUACAAACUCAAAACAAAAUUUUUUUGUGGAAAUCGAAUUUUCUAUUGGGAAGGAUGAUAGAGAGAAGAAAGAGAAAAAGAAAUAAAAGAAAGGAAAACAAUUUCAUCUUAUGAUAUUUUUUUGAGAAUAAAAUGAGAAACUAGAAAGGAAAGAGGAAAACCCAAAAUUAAAAGAAUUGAAAGGCUAAAAAAAUUGUAUUUUAGAAAAGUGGUUUGAAUUUUUUUUGAUCAUUUAAGAAGAAAAUAGAUCUUUGUAAUUCCUCUUUUUUAAUUUCAAUCAUUAAGGUGAAGAUUUUUGUGGGAAAGAGGAAGAAUUAAAUAAAGAAGAAAGAGAAAAAGAAAUAAAAGAAAGGAAAACAAGGUAAAUGAAAAGUCAAAAUAAUGCAAGGGCAAUUUUGUCCUAAAGGGGGUUAAGUGAGCAAAAUUAAAGGUUAGGGGGUAAACUGAGAAAUGGAGUAUUCUUUAAGGGGAUAAAAUGUGAUUAACCCAUAAACAAUAUUAGAAUUGACCAAUAGUUUAGAGGAUAAAGUGAGAAAAAAAUAUUAUGCGAUAAAAUGCAAAAGUGAAAUACCUUAGGGGGAGUUUUUGUGAUUAUCCCUAAAUUUUUUUUCCUUAUUUUGUCUUUCUUCUCUUUUUCAUUCCAACUUGGUUUUCUUUUAUCAAAUUUUUAUUUUUGAAAAAAAUAAACUUCUUUAACAAAAAAUUUAGGAUGUCUAUUCUCUAAUUUACCAAAUUGAAAAUUGUAUAUAAUUUUUACAAAUCAAUUUAAUAUAUUUUUUUGAAUUUAAGAAAUUAAGAAAAAAAUUUAUUCUAUUUUUUAUAAUUACACUAUUCACAGUCAAUCACCCAUUUUAUAGUCACACAUUCACAUGUCAGCAUUGAAUAUUUUUCCUAGGAAAAAUUGCUAGUUUGAUACCUCACAUUUUUAGAAAAAAACUAUUUUAGUCAAUCACAUUUAAAAUCAGCCAAAACAAUCUCUCAAGUAUAAAAUUUCUGCCCGUUUUGUCCCAAAGCUCAAUUUUGCUCUAUUUUUCGACAAAAAAUGCAUGAGUACUUCAUGUGCUUAUAAUUAAGGCAAAAUGAAACACUCGAUUUUUUAUUUUGGCUGUUGGUAUAACCAACUUACUAUUAACAAUAUGGCAGAAAGAAAUAACAAAAAAGGAGCUCCAAUAUAAAUGUUUUCGUUGGUGCAUAAACUGAUUGUAUAUCAUCACUAAUAAACACUAAAAUAGGUGAUAUUCAUUGGAUCAAGUGUAUCCUCUCGAUUAAAAGCUUUCACAGCCCAUUUACUAAAAUAAGGAUUCCAAAUUGCAUGAGCAAUACGCCUUAUGUGUAAAGAGUUUAAUGGAUGAAAAUUGAGGGAAAGAUAAGGCCAUGUGUAUCAGUGUGUGUGGGUGUGUGUGUGUGUGUGUUUUUUUUUUAUUUAAGGGAAACAAAUUUUGUUCCCAUUUUGAUUUUGAAAUUAUAGGUAUGUGAGAUAGAUGUGCAUUUUUUGGUAGAAAUUGAGGAAAAAUGAGCUCUGGAACCAAAAAUACAAAACUUUUACAUGUAAGGGACUAUUUUGGUUGAUUUUAAAUAUGAUGGUACAAAAAAGCUUUUCUCGAAAAUGUGAGGCACCAAUUUGACAAUUUCCCCUUUUUUCUAUAAUGAGCUUUUGCUUAUUAGGAUUUUUACACCAUUUUUCAAAAAUAUAAUUAGUUAUUAGUGUAUUCCUUAAUAUAGACACUCAUCUCAUACGAAAAACUUUACCACUAUCAAUUAAAAUGGUCAAAAAAAGUUUAAUGAUUAAAGAAAGUAAAAUAUUUGAAAAUAAAAACAUAGUAUAAUAGAGGGAUAUUUUUUUGUCUCUUAAGGGGUUAAGUGACAAGAAAUAAAAGUUAAGGAGUAAAGUGAAAAUCAAGAUAAACCUUAAGGACAUAAACUGUCAUUAACCCUACCUUAUAGUUUACACUUAAUAAAUUUCGAUACAAGAAAAGAAAGAAUCCACUAAUAUUGUAUAGGGAUCGUAACGUAACCGGAUGGACCAAAUGGGCUACCUUCAACAAUAAAAAGCAAAGGAGAAUAUAUUUAAAAAAUAAUUAUUUAAAAUCAGAAUUUAUAAAAAGAUAAAAAGCCCUUAAUUAGUAGGUCGCAGGCAAUCUUACACAAGAACAGAUAAUUCCAUGGGUCAAGUUGCAAUUCUACCCAGAAGAAAAUAAACCAAAACAAGAGGGCAAAAAUAAAAAAAAGGGGGAAAAAAUUUAACCUGAUUCAGAAAUACUAGUGCCACUCCAUCACUUGAUAUGAUUCAAAAUUAACCUGCAGCUCUUCUUGAGCAACAGAAGACGAUGUCGUUUGGUGCCUGUCUAUCAUCCCCAGCUUCCCUUUCUCUCUUAUGCAGCGGCAAACCGUCCAUUAAUGGCUCUCGAAUUUCUGCUUCCGCUGAAGUUCCUGACUUCCUCUCUGCUGAUUGGUACUCUCUCCUUUUCUUUAAUUCCAUCUAUGAACGUUACAUUUAUCGGAAUAAUUAUACUUAUCUUUUUCUUGUUAUUUAUUUAAUUCAUGAUUUCGAAUUUCGAAUUUGUAUUUAGGAGAAAGAUUUAACACUGAUUAUAGAUUAAAAAAUUGUAAAGAAGAUUAAAUAAUUCGUGUUUCAAACCCAAUUUUAUGAGGGAAUUCAAGUAAAAAAUCCCAAAACGAUACAAAAAACCCCAUUUAUUGAUCCUGUAAUGUAAUUAAUGCAAGAUUGUAGGUACAUAUGAUUUUUGCUGUCCCCGAACUCAACUUGGAUGGUAGGAAAUUUGCCAAGUAACUCUGAGUUCCGGGUUUGACUCAAAAGCCCUUUUCCUUGAAUCGAAACGAAAUGGAACAUAUAAUUCUUGCUAAAGAAUCCAACUGUACAUUUUUGGUGUCACUUUGAAAGUGCAAAGAAGCCCAAUCAUUUCAAGCAUUGUCUUGGUAUUUGAGAAAAUUUUGUAUAGCUUGGCUUUUUAAUGAGCCAGUUGGAUUCCAAAAUUUAAACUUUGUAACGGGUUGAGAGAAAUUAACGAAAAGCAUAUGAUGUACAUAAUUGUAAAAUCUGCUCUUUGAAACUGCUGAAUAGUCAAACAACUCAGCGGAAAUGGAAGUCUGAUGGUCGAGAUUGCUGUGCACUUGUAGUUUUUGACAGGACAUGUUUAGCUGCCUGGCAUGAGUUUUGAAGUCAGAAACUCUUCUGUAAUGUGAUUAUUAUCUAUGGUCCUAUUUUGGAGAUUGGAGUUGGAGAGUUUAGAUGUUUUCUUUCUUUCCUUGCUCUAGUUCUUGAAAAUUUAUCUGCGCUAUGAUUUUUAUUUCUCAAUUUAUCGGAGAGUUGUCUUCACUUCAGGCAUUGCUUAUUGAUAAGUUAGCUUCUGUGGAACUAAUAAGUAAUGUUCUUCACAUUUUGCAGGCUUGAAUCUCGCAGGAAAAGGCCUUUCGGCCCAAGACUCAGUGUAAUUCCCUCAUAAUAAAAUCUGUUAGCAUACUUGAUCCUUGCUAUCAGUUUACUAUAUGAAUUGACAUAAUUGAUUUACUGUAGUUUAGUGCAGAAGAAGCUGUCCAGCACCAGCUCGAUGCAUUGAAGUACAAUGAUCAACGACGUCAAGAUUAUGGGAUAGAGGUUAUAUACAGGGUAAUUGCUAAUCUGGAGUACCUUGCUGUUGGUUCUGAAUUCCCAUAAUGCUUGUGGGUGUGAAUCAUCUCAUCUGCCUUGUACAGUUUGCUGGAUUUGAUCCAUUUGAAAGGUCCACAUACUUUGGACGCUUCUUUGAUUUGGGGCAGGUGAGUAACAUUUCGGCAUUCACUGUGCAGAGUAUACCUUGAAAUCGAAAAGCUUAAACUUUUACUCUUAUCCUAUGUCAUCCGAUAUUCUCAACCUUUUUUGGUUGCAUAGACAUUAGAAGCCUCUUUGUAAAUUUUCAAACGAUAACUGACAUGAUUCAAAAAAAUUCACAUACAUACACGUAUAUGUAUGUAUGUAUGUAUGUAUGUAUGUAUGUAUGUAUGUAUGUAUAUAUGUAUAUAUGUGAAUCAAAACCUUGAACUUUUACUCUUAUCCUAUGUCAUCCGAUAUUCUCAACUUUUUUUGGUUGCAUAGACAUUAGAAGCCUUUUUGUAAAUUUUUAAAAGAUUAUUGACAUGAUUCAACAAAUUCACAAAAAAAAAAAAGAAAAAGAAACCUAUUAUUAGCUUCAAGUUUUGUGGACUUGAAGAAAAAUAAUUUAAUGAGAUCAAGUAGAAUAGACUGCUGGUUUGAAUGUAAAGUCAGUUUUAUCAGCUAAUAUUUGAGAGAAGGGAUAAUGAUUAAUUUGUCACUCAAAGAACCAAAAGUACAGGUUCACUAAAGUCCAGUGGUGGCAGUAAUACUGAAAAAUCAUAUUAUACAAAAUUGGAGCACAAGAUGCUCUGUGUGCUAAAUUCCUUUCUUUAUUGCUUUAUUCUGUAUGUAGUUUGAAAGGUUUAGGAGGAUAUUUCAUCAUUCUACAUAUCGAGUUUUACUUGGUCACCAAGAAAGGAAGAUCUUGAGCAGUUUGUAUCCAAAAGAGGUUAGUCAAGGUUUAAAGUAAUUUCUUAAUAGUAUUGACGAACUAACACAUCUUAGUUGAAUUUUACCAAGUCAUUGCUGGAAUAAACAUGGUUAUAUGAUGACCACCUCUGGGGGAAUGUGUGUGAAACAGAAUUGCUAUAAGCAAAGGAUUUGGGUUCGAGGAGCUCGACCUGAGGAAGAAGAAAUCUUCCAAUUUACCAUGGUUCAGGUUUGACCAUUGCUCUUCUCUGAUGACUAAGUGCACCAUGUAUUUGAGAAAUAUUGUUUUGUUGCUGGAGUUGACAUAUUGUUCAUUUAUGAGCUCAUACUAGUCUGAUCGUAUUUGCCGCAACUAGUGAUAUGCAGUAUGCUGAAUAUUGCCAGCCUUGUAAUCUAUUUGGUUUGCUUCCUUUGUUCCCCUUUUUCAUUGAUAUUGCAGCGAGUUGGUGGUUCUUGGGAUGGUUAUUGGCUGACAGAAUCAUUACUGCAUGAUGGAGAUUGUUUUUCUGGUGGCUUGGCGUAUUGACUGUUGACCCUGCUGUUUGAUGAUGGAAAUCGUAAAUUUACUAUUAGCAACGUGGGUUGCUUGCUGAAUUACAGGUUCUGUAGAUAUGCAGUAAAAAUUCAAAUCAUCGGAAUUUCUAUUAUUAAGUUUUCUUGACCUUGUACAUAUAAACCUGUACAGAAACUUCAGUCAGUAAAAGUAUAGCCUUAUGCAGAAGACACAAUUUAUAGCAUCCUAACAUGGAGCCUUUGAUUUUUUCUUAUCCUAAAGGUAAUGGAAACUUCUAGUUAUUGUUCCACUAUGUAGGUGGUGUAAAUGGUCACGACAUGAAAAUCUCCAUGUUCAGCAAUAUGUUCAUCCAUUUCAUCCUAUUUUGGUGGAAAUGACCACCUCCAACCCCAUAAAGAAAAUACAAAUAUGCAAGGCAGACAGGUGCAUCCGAUGGUGUAGUUGCAUCCAUCAAAGUAAAACUUAUUGAUGGUUCUAUAUUCUCAGAAACAGGAAAUUAUGGUGUCAAGCAUUUGCGAGAUAAUAACUACCAGGCAGCAUUAUAUUUUCGCAUGUCCGCCCAAAAAACAUUCUUUUUGACUGGGGUGUACCGGGGCCUUGGUUCUAAAUUGUUGACAUUCAUACUUACUUUUCUCCUUUUCAGAUCUUGUUUUAAGAUAGUUUAGGGGCUUGGUAGAGUUUGGGGGUGUGUCCCAAACUCUGGUCUUCUCCCACCAUUGACAAGCUUCGAUUGCUCACUGUUGUUUUCUGUCCAAAGAUUGUUGAAGAGCUUGGGUCAUGAGGUUCAAUCAUUGGGGACUGAGUGUCUUAAAUGAGGGGUAUUAUUUUAGGUAGAAAAUGGAAUGAAGAUGGAAAACUUCAAAUUUUGCUUAGCCUACCACAUAAAGUUGGAGGAUUUUGUUGCCUGGCAUGAGUUUGCGUCGAUAUAUUUCUUUGCAAUGACAACUUGGGGUGUAAACGCCGGCAAAGCUGUUAUGAUUAUUACCCAGAAAAGCCUUCAGAUAUUAGCGCAAGAAAAUUCAAUUUCACGUCUGCUAGGGUUACCAAAAGUAAAUUCAUUUUUACGUCUAACAAUAACAUGACAAAAUUUAGCCCCAAUUCAGCUCCUGAAAAGAUAACUCUGGCCUAUUGGCUUUCAGAUAUCAUCAUAACUCGCAAGUAGAAAAGAAGGUUUUGGAUAAUUCAAAGCUAUCGUAUAACUUCAAUUUCAAGGCAACUACAUUAUGGUAUCUUGAUCACUGGAUUUUUCUGGUACACAAAAUCCUUCCUGCUAAUGGUUUCAAAAGUUUUGCUCUCCUAUAACAUCAAAAUAAGAAAUGCAUUCACUUAAACGGAUCUGUUCUGAGCAUAGAUGAUGAAUGAAUUACAAUCCUCGGGCGUUAAAUCUAAAAUGUCAAAACUUGAU
rnacentral:lncRNA from 1 species